AGUGUCAUUUUAUUCGUAGUUACCUUUAAACAGAUGAUUUAUGAAGUUCUCCCUGUCCCCAACCAUAUUGCUGUAAUAUUUCCUUCUAAAUUUUGUGUGAUGUUUUGCCAUUUUGUAUGUCUGCGUACUUGCCCUAUUUGCCAUUAGUGAAUAGAGAGACUUGUCAAAAUGAUCCCUGGAUGGAAGAGUUCUGCCUUCUGCUGCCUUUGCUUCUUCCCUGUACAUUUUCACAGUAGUUCAAUUCUUAACAUAUUACCUUCGCUAGUUAGUGAUUAUAAGGAAUCCGGAUCGGUAUUUUAGGACGUCACCUAUAUCCUCUUUUGAUUUAUUGGACUAUUGGAUAUUUGGUUAUUGUGAGGCAGGUAUUGCGUGGAUCCUCUCCAUUGAGGUAAUUAAGCAACCUUUGAUGUUUCUUAUAGUGUUGAAGAUAUAUCUGAAAGUAAAUAAUUAGACUAAGUCAUGUGAAUAAGGGAUUAAUGUUAAGGAGUUUGGCCUCUUAUAUGUAUGUAUUUGCUAAAUACAUGGUGCUCUUAAUGGGGAUGUUUUAGGGGUUAGAAAAUGUGGGACAAUUGAUAACAUCAACAUGGCUUAUUUCAUGUUGGUGUUUCCUCGACUGAUUAUCUGGUCACAUAACAUUUGUUGUUAUACUUGACUUGCAGGCAAGUUUUUGUUGACUUCAAUCGAGUAUACUGACCAUGUUCUCCCUCUGACAUAUGUCGUUUUCCAUUAAUUUUAUUGUUUUGUGACAUUAUCAUGGGAAUAAGACACCUUUUUCAAAUAUAAGCGGUCAUGGAAUUUAACUAUUUUAAAAUUUAAUUUGCCUUGUAUCAAUGGUUGAGAAAUGUCAGGUUGGAAACCCGAAAUUUAAUAAUCUCUUGGUAUUUUUGAGCUGGCUUCUUUGGUCAAUUAUUUUGUACCCACCUAAAGCCUUUGUGUUGUUUGCACUUUAGAAUCUACUGGGGAAAAUAGUAAUUUCUACAUUAUUAUGUUUUGGCUGUCUUUUUUUCCUCGAUAAGUUUGUGACUUCGUGAUCUUCUAGUGUUGCAUUUUGGAUGCUCAUAGAUGAGAAUAUGAGCCAGAUUUUUCAGCUCCCAAUGUUACAAUCUACUCGGAUAUUUUGCGUGCAAUUGCCUCUCCCAGUAAGUUUAUGGUGAAGCCUAUAGUUGUUAAAUUAAGUGCCCUUGCAUAUACUUUUGCUUUUGCAAAUGGAUCUGUAGUCCUGUUUUGUAUGCUAUAAAUAGUAUGUUGCCUAUUCUUUUGUACCCAUUCACUGCGAAUAGGGAGAGAGGAUGGGCUUCUGCAGGAGUAAUCAAAUAAUACGACCCAACAAGUACGGUAUGUAGGCACUAACUUUUGUCUUCAUGCAACUGUGCUAUGAGUAAAUUUGUUGAGGAUUGUAUUUGAUGAUUUAUCUUUUACCUGAUAUCUUUUCUGUUUGUUGAUAUCUAUCUUGGCUUUGUUUGGAAAAAAAAUGCUUUGCUUCAUGAAUAUUAAUUGUCAGUGUAGAUAUGGUUUAGUUCAAGGUUCAUUUGUGAUAAACAAUUUUGUGCAGAAUCGUAUGAGAAACAACAAUUCGAUGUCUGGAGGAUAUUCUCAGCAAGGUUAUCAAGCUCGGGCUCCAACUAACUGGACACAAAAUCAGCAGCAACCUGGUUCUGGUUAUGGCUAUGUCCAGCCUGGCGCAUACCCUGGCCCACCACAAUAUAAUCAACCACCUUACUCUGGUUAUCCUCCUCAACCCACUACUGGUUGGGAUCAAUCAACUGCUCCUCCUCAAAAUCAAGGAGCCGCUCAAGGAGGUAACUAUGAUUACUACAACCAGCAGCAGCAGCAGCAAACUCAAGGAGCCCCAGCCGAUGGCUCUAAUAAUUAUGGGUACGGUCAGGGUUACGCACAAGGUUAUGGCCAAGAUGGCUAUGGUGGUGGGUAUCAAGCGCAAUCAGGAUAUGACCAACAAGGAUAUAAUAACUCUACUUACGCCAAUGCUCCUAACCCAACACCUGAUGCACAAACACAGGGCGAAACCAAUCAAACAACGCCACCUGGACAGUCGUACAAUCAUAAUUAUCCACAUCAAACUUCUAGUCAACCAGGUUAUGGAUCUUCACAGGGUGCUUAUGGAACACAAGCACCACCUAGUUACGCAAGUUAUGGAACACCUCAGGCCCAAAAUCCGGGCACUCAGCCGACUUACGCACAGCCACAGCAGUCACCUGGGGCUCAGUAUGCUCAGUAUCCACCUAGCUCAGAUUCUAGUGCACAGAGACCUCCUUCAUCAGGUUAUGCUGCAGCAUCUCAGACAGGGUAUGGGGCCCCACCUGCAGGGGGGUAUGCGCCCCCACCAUACAGCAAUGCUUAUGGCGGUGCGUAUUCCCAGCCUCCAGCUUACUCCUCUGAUGGCAAUGCACGCGGUGGUGCUGCUACCCAUGAUGUGACUCCACCUCAAGCAGCCCACCCCUCUGGGGCUGCGAAAGCCUCGCCUCCUAGUUAAAUUUUUUUUACAGUCAGUUGAUCGAUUGAGUUCUGCUACUAAUGUAUUGUUACUUUUAAUAGAUGUUUUAGGUAAUUGAGGUCUGCUAUUCGGACAAUGGACUUUUGUAAUUCGGACAUUGGACUUCUGUAAUUCGGGCAUUGGACUUUAGCAUGUUUCUAUGCUGUUAUGUCUUAAGAUUAUGUUCUGCUAUUUAGUUUUGGCCACACAGAUUUUCUUCAGUUUUAAGAAUUACUGGGCUCGUAUUUGUUUUUCGUUGUACUGUAGUGUGUUGUGUUUAUUUGGGUGCAGUGUGCUGCACUAUUUGUUCUGGGUGUAGUGAUUAUUUUUUAGAAUAUUUACGUUGUACCGUGUGUUUAAUGGUGCAGUGUGUUUUUACAUGUGAUUUUCUUAUUGCGUGUUUAUGGUGUACUGUGUUUUGUUAUUUGAUUUUUUCUACUGCGUGUUUUCAGUGUUGUGUUUUUUCAUGGUAUUUUUUUUAUUGUGUACUGCAUGUUAACGGUGUACUGUGUUUUUUAUUUGAUUUUUGUAACUGCGUGUGUAUGGUGUACUGUGUACUCCGUGUUUAUGGUUUACUGUGUUUGUAUUUGAUUUUUUUACUGCGUGUUUAUGGUGUACUGUGUGAACUGCGUGUUUAUGGUGUACUGUGGGUACUGCGUGUUUAUGGUGUACUGUGUUUUUUUAUUUGAUUUUUUUACUGCGUGUUUAUGGUGCUCCUUUUGCACUGCGUGUUUAUGGUGUACUGUGUUUUUUUAUUUGGUUUUUUUCACUGCGUGUUUAUGGUGUAAUGUGUGCACUGCGUGUUUAUGGUGUACUGUGUACUGCGUGUUUAUGGUGUACUGUGUCUUUUUAUUAUAUAUUUUUUACUGCGUGUUUAUGGUGUACUGUGUGCACUGCGUGUUUAUGGUGUACUGUGUGUACUGCGUGUUUAUGGUGUACUGUGUUUUUUAUUUAAUUUUUUUUACUGCGUGUUUAUGGUGUACUGUGUGCACUGCGUGUUUAUGGUGUACUGUGUGCACUGUGUGUUUAUGGUGUACUGUGUUUUUUAUGUGAUUUUUUUACUGGGUUUUGAUAGAAGUGUGUGUACUAUGUGUUUAUGUAGUGUGCUGUGUGUAUGAUUUUUUUACUGCGUGUGUUUUAGGGUGUUGUAGUGUCACUGUUUCCUGCGUGUUUACUGUGUUUAUGUUUUUCCACUGUAUUUAUUGUGUAAUUAAUACAUUUUAUUUCUGACUGCAAAAUAUUUGAAAUUCCAGAACGACCUAACAUUUGUCAAUCAAGAAUGGAAAAAAAUCAUAGAAAAACAACUUCACUCUCUCCAGUAAACAAGUAUAUCAAGAAAGGGGAAAAUCACAAGGAAAAAGAACACCAAAUAGAACCACCAAAGUCCAUCACAACAUAAGAGUCCCUUUACAUGAUUAUCCUCUAUACUCUCUAUAGUCUUAAAAACAACUACCUCAACAAAGAGGAAAAGCAUAGGAAUAAAUAACACAACCACUACAGUUCAUCACAGCAUAAAAAUCCCUUUACCAUAAAAUAAAAUAACACAAAUAGAGCCACUACAGUUCGUCACAACAUAAAAGUCCCUUUACACGAUUAUCAUCCACUCUCUCUCCAGUUUGAAAACAACUAUAUCAAGAAAGGGGUAAGACAGAGAAAAAGAUAAUACAAAAUAGGAACACUAGAGUUCAUCGCAACAUAAAAGUCUCAUUCCUGAAUGCGGGCUAGACUUUUGGUGAUAAGUUGUUCAGCAUAAUAACAAAUUGAAAGCCUCAAUAUCGGGGUUUCGAUCAGUCGAUCGUCCUUUGCUAUCUAUCUAAUCUAUUGAAUCGAAACAUGAGGAUAAUUUUUUAAGUAUAAGAAUCACUCAUACUAUCUAUCCAAUCUAAAAAACAACUGCACAUAGUUAAUCACAGCAUGUUCUACUGUCUCAUACUUCACCACACUCUUUUUAGCCUCAUACAAACCCAUCAAAAGAAAAUGGAUAGGGAGCAUAGAUCAGUACACCUGCUAUGUUUUUUGCGAUCAGAAAACGAGGGUAAGCAUGUAAAAAAAGGUGCGCCUAUUUCAAAUAGCAAAGGGCGCACUUCCAAAGCUAAAUCAGCGGUAUCUAUGAAAAGAAAUACCUGAAUGUGGACAAGUCUUGGUGAAAAAAGCAAAAAUGUAGGCUAAUAUAGAACCAACGCACAUUUUGAUAGCAUAUUGCAAAAUAUCACUUUCAGCUUCAGCUGUGGUUGUUAUUUCCAUAGCUGAAGGAAGGGCUUCAAUCACUACAUCAGCUAGAUCAGUAAUGAAUGACGACUUACAGUUCAGAGCAGGAACACGACUCCAAUUAACAAUACCCGGAUUCAAGAGCCAGUUCUCUGUACUCCAUAUCGAUAUCUUCAAGAGUUUCUAUGUGCCCACUCACAAAACUGAAAGUAUAAGACCAUUUAUUAGAUACAAAACAUGGAAGCUCACAUAUAUCUAGAAGUCUAUACGUUUCAUCGACGCCAUGUCAUAGUAAAUCGGUAAGAACAGAAGACUCGUGCCUUUUAGAGGUCGUUUACUUUUUGGUACGAUUCUAUGAGAUGUAGAGGAGGUAUUGAUGAUAAAUAUUAUUAUUUGUAGAAUGUAGAUUAUGCUGUUUACUAUGUAUGAUUUUGAUUAAUACCCAAGCGUUAUAGGACAAAAAUACCACCAUGAAUUUACCACAUCUAACUCCACUUUACCCCUUUUUGAAAAGAUAACCGAGACCUAAAUUUAAAUUUAUCAUCUUCAUUAACGAGAAUAUAAUAAUUUUGAUUUGAGAAACCAACACAUAAUAAUUAAAAAUAUAGAUUUUAAAUGCACAAAAUAUUAAUGAGAUAUAAUUCAUGUUUACUUGAAUAAAGAAAGCAAAUUCAACUUAUGAAGAUUGUCUUCUAAAUCAGAUUUAGAGAAAAUGGGGAACAAUUUUUAAAUAAUAAGAUUAAACAAUGAUAUUUUAUUGCAAAAGCUCCAAGAAUCUAUUUUAUUACAAAUAAAUGUUUAAAAUAUUUCUAGAAUUGUAAUUGAAAGAAAAUAAAAAGAUUUAGAAUUAUAAAAGUGACAUAUCUUAUGACUAAUAAAUAAAAUCUCAAAUAUAGAUUGAUUUUACUAAAUAUAACUUAUCGAAAACAUAAAAACUCUUGAAUCGUUGUAUCUUUUUGAAGACAUAUUAAUUUAUUUUCUUUAUUCUCUAAAUAUAGUAACUAACUGGAAAAUAUGAGAUAGCCAGAUAAAAUAAAUUAUUUUGCAUUAGACAUCUGAAAUGCUAAAAGACGAGGACGUCCUUUCUAUAGGUACGUGAUGUUUCAUUCAAAUGCUCUUUAUAUCUAUUUUAAUAUAACAAUAUAUUAUUUAUCAACAUAUUUCAAAAGCUAUGAUAGAAAGGAAAUGUGAAGAAAAAGUUAGAACAUAAAGAGUCAUUCGCCUUCAUGAUUAUUUGACUAAAUUAAUUGACAACAUUUAACUACCAACUGUUCAAGAGAACAAUGAAAUUAAUUUAAGCAAUUUCUCAUUGUGAAGUUCACAAAUUUUCAGUUAAGCACAAUUACCUAAUAUUAUCAAUUGGUCGAGGGGUGUACAAAUAUAAUAGGUCAUACAUAAAAGGGAAGAAAACCACCUACCAUGUUCAUGCGUUUGUAUAUAAGUAUAGAUAGACAUAUAUAGGAUUAGUUAUUAUAUUAGAAAAAUGAUCUUUGUAGUUCAGUUCAGCUGCCCCAUUCACUUUGAAGUUUAAGCAUUUGUAUUAUUUUUAAUAUAUAUAAAAAAAUAAAGUUGUUCUAUAUGACAAAAGGUUACAACCUCCUCAUUAAAUUCAUAAUGAAGAGACUAAAUAUAUUUUUUUCUUUAAAAAAUUUCAUAUACGUUUAAAUACUAAAAAUUAAAAUCUCAUAAAAGGAAAACGAUAGUAUAUAAUUUCUCAAAUACCAGGGGCUCGUUUACUUGGGAUAUUAGUUUGGAUGUGCUAUUUUAUCCAACGUAUGCCCUGAAUACUUGGGGUGAUGGAAGCCCGUUAUAUACUAGUUGUCCAGCACAAAAUCGGUCAUCCUAGCAUGACCCAUCCCACCUAAAGGAUGGAACUGGGGUGUAGAAUCUGUUCCAUUUCACCCUCACUUUAUUUAAAAGACUAAAAAUAUGGCUCUUACAUAUAUAAUUCGCGUUCUCCAUUAUCAUCAUCGCCGGCUUUUCACCAUCAAUCAUAUAACUCUGGUUUACAAAAAUAUUUUUUAUUGACUCUGGGAUGUAGUAUCCUGGGAACCCAUGACCUUGUUCCCAGUGAUGAAAAAAAGUUUUGAUUAAAUACUUUGAUAGAAAAGUUUCCUUAUUCGGGUAUUCCUAUAUGUUAACUUUUUAAGCAGGAAUCACAUCCAUGAUAAUGGUUGUUGAAGUUAUUCAGCCAUAAUGACCUUUUAAGGACACUAGAGAAGUCUAUGAUAUAAUUUCCUCAAGCAACAUAAACAGUGACGGGAAAGAGCACAAAAACAGAGAGAUCUGGAGAGAGAGAUACCUCACUGGAACAGCCAAGAGAGACUUCACUCCUUGUUGGCCAAGCUCAACAAGAACUUCAUCGGCGUACGGCUUUAGCCACUGCACAGGUCCUACCCGCCUCUGGUACAUGAGGUUAAUAGUUAAUACCAAUACAUUGAAAGUAAGCAGCCUAUGUUGUUCAAAGUUAUCUCCCUUGAGAGGUGGUGGCUCUAGAGACCGAUAAUAAUGGAAUUUGGACACUAGGGGUUGGCCAAUAAAAAUAAUUCAUAACUAAGUUAUGCACUAAAAUGUAGAAUUCAACAACCAUAACGAACCUGGUAAGCCAAAGUAUGAUUGUUGCCAAUUCCUCUAGAUUUAAGUUCUUGCAUUAUUAAGAAAAUGCAAUCUUCCAUCUGGUCUUUAUAUGGAUCACCUGCAUCCUCAACAUAACUGACAGGAACUCCAUGAGUACUGAAGAGUAUCAUGGUCUACAAUAUGCCACAAGAAAAAAACAUUAUUAAUUCUAUUGUGAAAACUCCACAUAAAUUCAAAAAAAAAGAAAAAAUUAAUGCGUCACACCUCAAAUAAAAUAUAUCACCCAUCUCUUCUGGGUUUGGGAAUAUCUGUAACUCCUUUUCAAUUAAGUCAGCCACAGACUUGCCUGCAAAAGACGAAGUAAAUUAUUUUCGAGCAUCCUAAAAAAUAUGAAGAAAUACUCAAGCAGGAGAAACACUAAAACUCAUUGCGUGCAAUACCUGCUCAUCUGUUAUUUUGCGCAAAGGUGAACCUCCUCCAAUGGGAGCACAGCCUUCUUUACCUUUGGGAGCUCGCAAUACCGAGAUUAAUUGUGCCAAAGGACGCUGAAGGAACCGGAAAAACCUCGGAAGGCGAAUGAUAUCCUGUGACGUGGCAUUAAAAAAAAUCACUAAUCUCAUAAUUAUCGAAACAAAAUAAUAGUAAGAUAGAAAUUGUUUUAAAAAUCGUACAGGAUAUGCGAACAAAUUGAACAAGAAAGACUGAACAUCAUUUAGAGUAUCAGGCCCUCCGAGAUUCAAAAGCAUCACUCCUAUCUUUUCCUCUGAUGUAUGAGAAUACGAGUCGAUAUCUCCCUUAGGAAACGUGCAUACCCUAGCCGAGGAAAAUGUUCUCCCUACAAUUUGUUUGCCUCUGCUGUGAUGAAAGUUUGAGAGAUAAUCCCCCAUCUUUCAUCUCACUUGUAUCAGAAUUCACAGGCAAAGAAACUUCCGAUUUAAUAGAGAAAGAUGACAACAGCUUAGUCCGAUGGCGCAACCUGGAAAUGGACAAAGUGAUAAUCAAACUUAUUUCUCUCUCCUACCAUAUGCAAAAUGCAUACCGAUCGUGGAUUAUGCCACAACUUAGGGUUUCAUUAAUUAAAAAAAAGUAAUCAUGAAAACCUAAUGAUCUAACAAGAUCUUCACCAUGUAUAAAAUGUAAAAGUUCGGUCGAUCAAAUUGUACAUUUACAAACAUGAACAAACGCACAUCAUAAACACUGUAAAAAAAAAAAAUCAGAAUCAAAUACACGGAUUACGGUGCGGAAUUCUGAUCGAAAUUCAAUUGCGGAAGAAUCCGAGAGCCCGCUGCAGCCUCCAUCGCGUAGAUUCUUCAACAAGCCGACUCCAAUUUUCAAAAUCACCGAAUGAAAGAAGAGAAACAAUCUUCUUCAUGAGAGAAAUCCAUUGAAGAAACGGAGAUUUUGGAGAAAUUCUAUAGAAGAACGGUUUAAAAGUGUUUAUCGAGGGUUUUGGCGAGAAUCAUGUCUUUGGUGAGUAUCGUAUAGGAGAAGAAAUGGUAACUGCUUCUGUAAUAAAAUAGGGUUGGGUGAAAAUGAUCGACGUGUUCACCUCCCAUUGGAGUAGCUCAAAUUGCGGAUUCUUUUCAAAAGCCAAACACGGCCUAAGUCGACUGGUCGACUUAACAUUAAUAAUCAAUUAAUUUAACAGCAAUACUUCAUAUUAUAUUAUUUCAUACCAUAUUGAAUGGGUAAAUUACGGUCACCUCCCUGAGGUAAAGUCAAAUUACAAAAAAUCCGCUUAUGUUUGGGUAAUUACAAUCAACAUCUGCUAUGAAUCUUCUUAUACGUUCACGCUUUAAAUUUAGUGGAAUCUUCUAGAUUUUGUGAAAUAUUCUCCAAUUUGUUUCGUUUUACCACGUUCGAAUUCCACAUUUUGAAACAUGAUGAUCAUAAGAUGGGUUUAUGGACUUGUAAAUAUCAUAUUGUAGUGCAUCAGAAACUGCAUUUUUGCACAAAACGAAUAGUCGAAUACAAACUAGAGAACAUUUCACGGAAUCUAGAAGAUUAGGUUGAAUUUGACACCAUAAGAGUGGACCGUGAACCUGUAACAAGGCUCAUAGUUGAGGGGUGAUUAUAAUUACGCAAAUAAAAGGAGUUCUUUCGUAAUUUAAUCUUAUCUCGGGGUGGCGGUAAUUUACCUACAUUCAAUUUCAAAGUUUAAAAUAUUACCACCCCUGAGGUAUGGUCAAAUUACGAAAAACCCCUCAUGUUUGGAUAAUUACAAGUUACAACCACUCCUCAACUAUGAAUUUUCUUACACGUCCACCCUUAUGUGUCAAAUUAAUAUAAUCUUCCAGAUUUUGUGGAACGUUCUCUAGUUUGUACUCGUUUUGUGCAAAAAAUGCCACCACAAUAUAAUAUAUAUAUACAAGUAAAAAAACAUGUCUUAUGAUCAUUUUGCUUCAAAAUGUGGAGCUCGAAUGGGAUAAAACGGGUACAAAAUUAAGAAGAUUCCAUAUAAUCUAGAAGAUUCCACUAAAUUUGACACCGCAAGAAUGGACAUGUAAGAAGAUUUAUAGUUGAGGAGAGUGGUUAUAAUUAGCCAAUCACGAGGAGUUUUUUCAUAAUUUGACCAUACUUCAGGGUAGACAUGGCCACGGGUCGGGUCGGAUCCGGGUCCGGAUCCGGGUCCUACUUUUUGGAGACAUGAAACCGACCCGUGUGGAGGCGGGUCCGGGUCCGGGUCAGGUCGAGUCCGGGUUCCGGUCCAAAACCGGUCUUUUGAAUUUAUUUUUUUUGAAUCUUGACAGUUGGAAAAAAAAAUUGAACCGGGUCCGGGUCGGUUCCGGGUGGACCCGAGUUUCUAGCCGUUAAAAUAAAAAAAAAAAAAAAAAAAAAAUUGAAUUUACGGAUCGGGUCCGAGUCGGGUCUGAUUUAUAGCCGUUGCAUUUUAAAAUUAAAAAAAGAAUAUUUUUUUAUUCGGUCGAGUCCCCCCGCCGGGUCUCGGGUCCAAUAAAUCAAGACCCAAAACCGACCCAUGUAAAGUCGGGUUUGGGUCCGGGCCCAAGGGGUGCGGGUCGGUUCCGGGGCGGUCCAAAUUCGAGGCGGGUUCGGACUAGGCCCGUGGUCGUGUCUACUUUAGGGGUGACCGUAAUUUACCCAAUAUAUUAUUAUUAUUAUUAUUAUUAUUAUUAUUAUUAUUAUUAUUAUUAUUAUUAUUAUUAUUAUUAUUAUUAUUAUUAUUAUUAUUAUUAUUAUUAUUAUUAUUAUUAUUAUUAUUAUUAUUAUUAUUAUUAUUAUUCUUGCAUGGUGUUUAGACACAUCUCCCUGGCCACACAUGAACACCCACAUUUCACGUAGAGUUAGUUAAAAAUGGAACUUAGAUUCUUCGAAUAGUUUCUCACCUAAAUCAUUUUUUUCUUCAAUGGAAGAACUCUGCAGAUUCUGAAACUACCUACAUACAAAAUUAACAAUCAUCAUUUUUUGAUUCUCUAUAUACAUACACACAUACAAAAAAUCCUCAGAAGAAAAAAAGAAAAAAUGAAUUAUGAUUGGAAAAACAUAACAAAUACAUAUUCAGGCUAUACACAAUCACUAUGCCCAAAUGGGGGGAAUAUGACCUUCAAACUUGCCACCAUUGCCGUUUACAUGCUCGGCUUCUUCUUCAUCGUCUUCCUCUGCAACUUCCUCCACAUUUUGCUCCGCCGCUUCUCUCAGCCUCGCAUCAUCUCCGAAUGCUUAGUUACUACCCCUCUCUCUCUCUCUCUCUCUCUCUCUCUCUCUCUCUCUCUCUCUCUCUCUCUCUCUCUCUCUCUCUCUCUCUCUCUCUCUCUCUCUCAUCUGCAAAAUCAUUUCCCAAUUAUCAAUUAUCAAUUGGAUUUGCAGGUAGGGCUAUUCCUGAGCAACCUCCCCGUCAUACGCCGCCGCACGAGCGGCGAAGGGAUACAGAACACAUGCAUACAUAGUGAAGUAGCAAUGGUCCUACACAUGUUCGUGUAGGGUUAGAAGUGGACCCAAACAUAUUCCUCGAAAUCCACCUCCCGGAGGCCCAAAGUCGCCUACACCGGCGUUCUCACACCUUCGUAAUGGCGGCUCUCCUAACGCCGUUCCUCACCGUCCCCAUAGGCACAAACGCCCCCUUCAACCUCUGCCUCUCCAUCAUAAUCUCCGGCACCGCCAGCCCGCUGCUCACGCGCCUGAUUACAGAUCUCAAAAUCGGCAAAUCCGAUAUCGGCAGAUUCGUCGUCUCCGCCGGGGUCCACACCGAUCUGGUGUCCACACUCCUAAUCUGCAUCGGAUUCGUGAUUUUCGACCCGGUGCGCGCGUUCGUGUACAGAACCGUCGGAUCUAUCAUCACCAUGGUUUCGCUCCUCGUGAUUGAGAUGGUUCUAGCGGCGAAAUUGACGCCGUUGAUUAUGAAUUGGGUGAAUCGAGAGAAUCCAGAGGGGAAGCCGAUGAAGUGCUCGCACCUGGUGCUGGCGGUGGCGUACGUGGUUAUGGUGUGUAGCUUCCCGCCGAUUGUGUCGAACUACGACAAGGUUUUGAGCGCGUUUUUGGCGGGAGUUUUCAUGCCGAGAGAAGGGAGAAUUGCGAAGAUGAUGAUUAGUAAGGUGAAUUAUUUCUUCAGUGCUAUUUUCUACCCACUCUUCUUCUUCUGGGUUGGUACAGAGGCUCAGCUCAACAGCUUCGAAGCUGGCAAAUUAGGCACGUGGGCUAAAUUGAUAUUCGUCUUCUUAAUUGCAACCGCUGGGAAAGUGCUUGGCUCUUGGGUCUCAGGGGUAAUGUUGGGAUUUCACUGGCAGGACUCGAUCGCCGCCGGUUUGUUGUUGAACAUCAAGGGCCAUUUCCAUGUCUAUUUGGCUAUAAUGUCUUCAAAGGUAAAAAAAACCAAGAAAACUCGAAAACUAAACCAACUUUUUUUUUCCUAAUUCAAUUUUUUUUAUAUAUAUAGAUGCUGUUGUCGAGCACUUCCACAAGCAUCGGUAUGGUGUUUGCGACUUUUCUCACCAUAAUCUACGCUCCGAUGGUGGUGGCGAACAUCAUCCAACGCGCGAGAAAACGGUCACCCACACAAAGAAUGGCGCUCCAAUGGCUCGCCCAAUCGCACGAGCUUCGUGUUCUAUUAUGCAUGCAUGGCCCACAAAACAUUUCCUCCGUUGCAAAUUUCGUGGGGAUCUCACGUGGGCCCGCGGACCCCGGAUUAUUGGUUUACCUCACGGACAUGGUGGAGCUGACCGAUAGAAUAGCCACCACAUUAGCACACACUCAAGGUGUGGAUACUGUGACGGUGACCGAUCCAGCGGUUGUGGAGAUGAGGGAGGAGAUAACUAAUGGGAUUAAUGCUUACUUAAAUGAAGACGGAGAUGGGAUCACCGUUAAGAGGAUGCUCGCGCUCUCUACACUCAAUAGCAUGCAUCAAGAUGUUUGUAUUUUGGCGGAGGAUUUGAUGGUUACGCUCAUAAUAUUGCCGUUUCAUAAGCAGCAAGAAAUAGGUGGGAGGCUUAAUAUGGGACACUCCGGUUUUCGACACGUCAACCGUAAGGUAAAGAAAACUCUAUAAUAAGGCUUAGCUCGAAUUUCAUUACUUGUGAGCUCCACAUUUUUGGAACUCAAGGAGUUAAAGAGUGAUAAGGGCAAAAUUGAGAAAAUGGUAAAUUAUUCAUCAUCGGACUUCUACCGUGACAAAUACAUGGAACAAGAAAGUGUGGGGCCCAAAGAUAAAGUUAUGCCCCUGCCACUGAGCUUGAGUCAUCAAAGUACAAAAGAAUAUAACUAUUCCUUGUAUCAUAAAUAAGCUUCUAUUUUUCGUGUAGGUUCUUCGCCACGCCCCAUGCUCGGUGGGAAUCUUAGUGGACCGUGGUCUCGGGGCUACACUAAUAUCAAGAUCCACCAUAUCCCUCCACGCGGCGGUGAUCUUCAUAGGCGGGAAAGACGACAGGGAAGCAUUAGCUUAUGCGGGCAGGGUGGCGCGCCACCCGGGCGUGAAGCUGACGGUCAUACGGUUCCUUCUGGAAGCUACCGGCGACAGCAUGUCGUCCAUAAUCACCAUAGCAAAGUCCAACACAACGGAGCAUCUGGAGGAGAUGAAGGUGGACGACGAGUGCUUCGCCGACUUCUACGACAGGCACGUCGCCGGAGGACAGGUGGCGUACAUGGAGAAGUAUUUAGUCAACUCGGGGCAGACUUUCUCGACUUUGAGGUCGCUCGAGGGGCAAUAUGGUCUUUUCAUAGUGGGGAGGGGAGGGAGGGUGAAUUCGAUAUUGACGGUGGGGAUGAAUGAUUGGGAAGAGUGCCCGGAGCUUGGGCCUAUUGGUGAUAUUCUUUCUGCUUCGGAUUUUUCGACGACGGCGUCAGUUUUGGUUAUACAGCAACAUAGUUUGAAGGGUGAACUAGAUGGCCUCCAAGAUGAAUUCUCAAUUAUGUAAACUUUUAGUAUAUUUAGUGUACAUAGAAUAGGUAGAAAAUGUUGGGAGUAUAGGUAAAAGAAUUUGUGUACAGAUAAAAGAAUUUGUGUACAGACUUGAAAAUAGACCUAGUUAUUUAUAUGCAUGGAGUCUCGGUUGUAAUCUUUUAUUAUGUUAUUUGCCUGUGUAACAUUAUUUUUUGCUAGGUAUAUAACUGUAUAUUGUCCACCGAGUGCUUCAGUAGUGAAAAUAUAUCCCAUCUCUUGUAUAUAAAUGCUUGCACCUCAGAAAGAUUUUCAAUUACGGCAGAAGAGCUACGCGCGGGAAUUAAUAAAGUCGAAAUUGCCAAUUUUCCUCGCAAAAAUUUGCAUCAAAGAUGCAGAAACAUAAUACACAACAUGCAAACCGAAGCCAGUACGAAAAAUUGUUUCAUCCUCUUCACUUCUAAAAGAAGUAACAGAUGUCUAAACUAGCAAAUAUUUGCGUCCUUUAUAUAUUAUAUUAGGCUCUGACGUCUUUUCGCUUCCUUCCAAUCAGACUCACAAGCCAGGUAUUGGGAAUUGGGUGGUCAAUGCCUCCACUCUUCUUUGCAGAUCCAAAACCCGAUCCAUCAACGGAAAGUUCGGAGAAGUCACAACUUUCAUAAAAUCUUGGAGCUUAGAGCCUGAAACAGACUUCUUUGCGUCUGAAGUAAUCUGCACACCUUCGUGAAUAAAAUCUGCAACUGCAAUGAAUUCUUUUUCGCUAAAGCAUCGCGUAGUCAUGGCUGGUGAACCAAUGCGAAUGCCACCAGGUACUAGUGCACUUUUGUCACCUAUAUACAUAUGGUGAAUUUGCAUUGAGUACACGAGCAACUAAAAUUCGUUAAUUAGUUACACAUCUGUGUAAUUGGCUUACCAGGAACCGAGUUUUUGUUGAGGGUUAUGGAUGCCAUAUCAAGAAUCUUUUCCACUCUAGCGCCAUCAAGGCCCUAGACAGACAACACAAGGUUUAUUAAGUGAUGACAUGGCAUUGAUCUUGUAACUAGUGAUAAAAAAAAUCAAGAAACAGAGUCGAAUAGUAACAUGAAAAAUUAAUGAGUGAUUGAUCUCAGAGAUAGAAAAUGACUCAAAUUGCCAGUAAGAAUAAUAUGUUUCAUGCACUUGUAUUUCAAAACAGUCCCUAAUAUAAGCUGGAAAGUGUUCUCGAUGAUGAAUAUAAGGAAUAAAAAAGAUGAUGAAGAAAUUAUAUACUUACUAGGGGGCGGAGAUCAACAAGAACCAAAUGGUUAUCGCUCCCUCCAGAGACCAAUUUGUAUCCCAACUCCACAAGUCGACUCGCAAGAGCUCUACAAUUAGAAACCACCUGCAUGAUGAAAUGAUGAUGUCAGCAUAAGUUGACAUGCAGGGAUAGUUAAUUAACCAAAAGCGACACGUUAUACCCUCUGCUGAUAAGCCUUAAACUCCGGAGAUUUGGCAUGCUUCAGACAAACAGCAAGGCCUCCGAUAGUGUGAUUAUGUGGGCCUCCCUGCUCAUAAUAGUACAUUAAUUGACCAAAACAACAAAAUUAAAAUUAGCAAAUAAAAGAUAGUCUUAAAGAAUUGACAAUUGGAUCAUAUUCAGUAAUGCAGCAACAAAGCAGACAAUUUACAGACCUGUAAACCUGGAAAAACAGCAUUAUUGAUUGCAGAUUCUAACUCAACUCCAAGAACAGGCUCCUUCUUGAAAAAGAUCAUGCCACCUCGAGGUCCCCUGAGAGACUGGUAAAACAUAGAAAGAAAAAUAAUUUCAUAAUUAGUGGGUACUUGUUCAUGCAAAAUUUGUCACUUUUUUUUAUUAAAAAAAAGAAAGAAAGAGAGAAACAAACAAGGAAUCGAGGUCAACCUUAUGGGUUGUAGUUGUUACAAUGUCACAGUACUCAAAAGGAUCGGCAACAACAGAAGCAGAAACAAGUCCACUAAUAUGGGCCAUAUCCAUCAUAAGAAAAGCACCAACAGCAUCUGCAAUCUUCACGGGCAUAUCAAGCAAUAGAAUUUAGAACAAAGACAACCAACUAUACCAUAGAAACAUUCUAUUACCAAAUAUUGGAAUCAGCAAUUUACAUAAGAACUUGUACCUUUCUCAUACGGGGAUAGUCGAAAUCUCGAGGAUAAGCACUAGCACCAGCAAUUAUAAGCUUAGGACGGAAGAGGAUAGCUGUUUUCUCAAGCAUGUCGUAGUCAACAAGGCCUACAAAACAAUUUUAAAAUCAGUAAAAAGGUUGUGAUUAAUUAUAUCAUAAGAAACGUGAAUUAUGUUCUUGAAAGAACAACAAUACCUGUAGAUUCAUCCAGUCGAUAAGGCAUGGAUUCGAAAUAAAUAGAUGUGCCUGAUACCCGUCGCUUGGCAGUCAUGAACCCAUGUGACAAGUGUCCGCCAUGAGGUAAAUCCAAGCCCUGGAAUCCAUUCAUGAACCACCAAAAUUAACAUAAUUCCAAAUACUCCAAAAUUAUUUGACGUAAACGCAAAGGAAGAAAGAAGAUUAUUUACCAUUAUGCGGUCAUGUGGCUUAAGAACUGCAGUGUAAACCUCAAAAUUAGCAGGAGAACCAGAUAAUGGCUGGACAUUUACGCCCCACUUUCCUCCAUCCAAAUUAAAAGCUGCGAGAGCCCUCUCUUGACAAAGAGUCUCAAGUUCAUCAAUGUGCUCAUUGCCACCAUAAUAUCUGGAGAGAAAAAAAACCACAUAGUAAAUACGGGAAGAGUUUAAAGUGAUGUUAAAGUGGUAAUUUCCCACUCUUGAAUACAGGUAACUUACCUUUUGCCAGGUAACCCUUCAGAAUAUUUGUUAGUGAGGCAAGAACCAACUGCUUCCAUCACAGCUCGGGAUGUGAAAUUCUCUGAAGCAAUAAGUUCCAAGCUUCUAAAUUGACGGUUCUUCUCUUUGUCAAUAAUGGAGCGAACUUCAGCAUCAACUUCGCUCAAGCCAUGGUCUGCAAAGCUGCUUCCUGCACCUAAGUUCAUAAUAAAAAUAAAUUGUUGCAAUUAUGAAUUCAACUUAUUCCACAGAUAGAAAUGAUUGGUAUUCAGUCAGUUCAAGAGUGCAGUAUGUGAAUUGAUAAGAAAUAUAAGUUCAUACAAUCUAAGAUUUCGAUCUAGCUUUGCUUUAGAAUAUACACAGAUCAGUGAAGUUCAUUCUUAGCCAGCAUAUUGUUAAAAAACACAAGGUAAAAUAUGUCGAAAAUUUGUAGAGACAAAAAGCUGCUAGAUCAUCAUAAAAAUUAUAAAGAUCAGAUUUAUCGGCAAACUACAAACACAACAAACACACUCCACAUGAUAGCACGUUGCAAGAGAAUUGAUAGAUUCAAGAUAAUUGAUACCUGCAUUUUCAGGGAUAGGAACAGACACAGAAGAGGGUGGCCUCCCAGUGACUAAGCUCCCUUCAAGAUGAGAUGACCAACAAGGCUUCACUGAACUCAUUUUCACAUGAUUUGAGCAUCCACUCAGACCAAUCCAUUUUGAAGGAAUCACCGAUAGCUUAGCCCCAACAGGCUGUUGGAUAGAAUUGAUCAUUCCAGAUCCACCACAAGCAUGCAUGCUGGCUCUCUAAGAAUACGGUGCUCAGAAAAUUCCUAUAUUCACAUGAAAUAUUUACAACUAAGUCAAAAAAAAUUUAACUCGGUCACAAGCUUAAUCUAAAUUUCAAACCAAACAAUCUGUAAAGGUAAAACAAACCGAUGUCAUCUUCUUAAACAAACAAACAUUGGUUGUCAUGUAAUUCUUUCAACAAACACUACAGGAACAAAGCUUCAAAUACCAAAAAUCUUGAUUAUGCUUCGAAGUACAAGUUUCCAAAUCAGACCAACUUAAGGCUUAGACGACAAAAACUCUUCGGCAUCACAAAAAUAGUUUCAACAUUUCAAUUGAUGGUAUUUAUAACUAUAUCAACUGCAACUCAAACGGUUGAAUAAUGUAAUCAGACCAGAGAAGACAAAGGAAAUAAUACAUGCAGUAAUCAAACUGAGGUUCUGAGCAAUAUUAAGCUUCUAGCUUAACUUCUCCCCUCAAUUCAACACAAAAACUAUCUCUAAAUCACUUCUACCGAAUUAAAGCACACAAGUUAAAAAUCACUGACUGAAAACGAAGCUCCAACUUUUCACCCAAAAGGCCGGCAAACUAGCUCAAAUUAAGCAGAUAAAAUCAAUCCAUAACAACGUUUGUUUAACUUUUGAAUUCCGAAACGAAAGGAGAAAUAAAACAAAACCAAAAAGCAAAAAAAAUCAAAAGAUUAGCAAUUCCAGAAAAAAAUUACUUGACUUCUCCGGCUGCAGAAUCGAUUUCAAUUCGAAAUCUACUGCUAAUCCUGGUUCGAGGAUGAAACGGUUGCGCCGGGUAUUUGUUCUUAUCAGAAGAGCUGCAAAAUGGUCGAGCGAGGUUUUAGGGGUUAUAUGACAUAUCCUAUUAAGUGAGAAGUGGAAAAACUAAAACCUAGUUGCGAUAAAUAGUAGCAAGUGCGUGCCGCUCGAUGAACCAAUCUUUUGCUCUUUUAUAUUGAGUAUAUAUUAAUAUAUUAAAAUAAUAAAAAAGUAAUAAUGAUAUUUCCCGCUGGGAAGGGUCAAGGAUUUUCGGAUAAAUAUCAUUUCGAACCCCAAAACAUGAUCAUUUUGUCAAAUCCACCCCAACAAAAUAAAAAAAAGACUUAUUGCACCCUUACAUUAGUUAGCCCCACAACGUCUUUCAUUUUACCCAAGAAUGUUGUAAGAUUGCACCAUUUCUUAUUUUCAUAUUCAUUUUUUAUGGUUUUCAAGUUGAUCAAUUUGAUGGGUAGAAAGACGCAGUCUCUAUUUGAUGAAAAUGCUCGGAGAUAUUUGGAUCGAAAAAUAUCCACCAUUGGUUGCUAGCACUACAAUAACGAAAUGGUGGAUGUUUUGUUCGGAGUUAAUCUCACAAAUAGACAAUAUUUGUCAUCACACCAUUUUGUACUUCGGUUGCAAACCAAAAAUUUGUAAGAAAAUUGGAUAUUGCAAAGAUAAAAACGUAGAUAUAUUCUAAGAGUGUUUUUUUUUUUUUUAAUUUCCACCCAUAGUUUGUAGCUUUGUGCAUAUUUUGAUGGUAGUAUCUUUCUAUGUUACAUUCAAAAAUUCCCCAUUAAUAUCGAGGGAUGACUUCCUAGACUAAAAACGAAACUGAUAAAUCGUGUUUUGGGGAGGUGCGCACUCAUAGACAUACAUAAACAUAAAAAGGGCAAAAGAAACUGAGUUAGAAGUUCUUAAGAUCCUCCAAACCAUAAAGAAACUGGAAGUCUAUGAAAUAGCUCUGCCGAACAAAAUGGCCCUUUUACAAGGUACGUUGAGCUUUAUCACAUGAUGUAAUUAGAUCUACACCAAAAGCCAUCGAAAUAAGAAGCUAUACCUAUAUACGAUUAGAACCUCAUUCCACCUGUGAAAGGCCGCCACCUGUCUCCGAGCGUGUUCUGCACAAAAAAGAAAUCAGUGUUUUAAGAAGUGGUCGCUAGAAAAAUCCAAUAAGUUGUAAAUGAAAUUUCGGUCAGUAGAUCAUCAACAUGUGGAAUUUGGAUUGAAGUUAAGAUUCCGGUACUGGUUUUUAUGUUUUUUUUUUGACAGGUAGGUACUGGUUGAUAUUCACUAGUUGUAGUUAAUUUUUUAACUCACUUGUGAUCUGAAGGGUUCGGCAUGAGUUCGUACACUAUUGUUGCAACAACAUCCCUCUUCAGCUGCAUGAAAUUGCAAGUUGAAUCAGGUAAAAUUUGGUUAAUUAAAAAAAAAAAAAGGAUUCAAAAUUGCACCAGAAAUUACCUGUGUUGCUUCUCCUUUAAACCCAAUGUAAUGUAUUUGUGUAGUAUCUCCACCAAAAUUAUCUGGGAAAUGCAAAGUGAUGUUUCCAACACUUUGAAAUCUUGAAUAUCUGUUGAUUAUAUCGUAUGCAAAGUCAGAUAUUCAAGAUUGAUAAAAAAGAUCUACUAAUCAGAUCUCGACACUGUUUACGUAGCUAAUCACCAAGUACGGAGGAAACUUCACCUUGUCUGGUAUUCCAAAACUCCUUGCAAAUUUUCCACCAACUCCCAUUCCUAAAAUUAUCGAGAUUUCAAUUAAGUACACUAUUAUAAAUAUAUCUAAACAAAAAAAUAAAUAAUAAAAAUAAAGGAAAACAAGAUGGCAGUAUACCUGCACAGGUUGCAUGCCCUGAGCAUCUGAAAAAUCGAUGCCCUCCCGAUUGACGAAUCUACAUUUAGAAGAAUAGACUAAUUCAGUCAAUAAGCCAGAGACAGAAUUGCUAACAAGGGGAGUGUCAAAAUGUUUUAACACAAAUUAAAUCGACACUUGAUAAGCAAUAUAUUACACGAAGGGGUGUUUCUUGUCAGCAAAUAAAAGGCUAAAAUUGUGAGCCUAAUUAACAUAUGGUAAAUUAAAAUGAAAUAAGUGUCAGUUAUAAGAACUCACGCUCUUAUCUUUGCAGGACUUGUGCCAUCAGCCCCACCAACAACUGAAAUACUCUUGAUCUUGACAUCUGAUGUAAAACUAUACAAACACCAAAAGAAAAGAAGCGGGCCAAAUUUCAGUAGAACUAAAUGAGAAUAACGAAUGUGUCUUCCUUUCAAUAGAAAUUGCUUUUUAAGUCUAUGGAAAAUGGAAUUUUGGCACACAAAACAUAAUUAAAAUUUCCAUGCCAAAUUUCAAGUAUCAGAUAGCAUGUUAAUUCUUUUUUUCUAGCUUUGAUUAUAUGAGCUCAAAGUUUGCUAAUUUAAAGGCUUUUACUGCGCACAUAAACGUAAAACAAUUGGCAUAUUAAUCCAUUUCUUCUCAAUGAAAAAGGAAAAAGGAAUUCUCCAUGGUCUUAUGUAGGAUUAAAGGUUGAUACUUACGGAAUAAAUACUAUCAACUCAGGAUCGCCUUCAUUGCUUUCCAAUAUACCCUGUCGCAUCAGAGACAAGUUUUCAGUACUCGAUGGAAUUAGCUAGUAAAGCUGACAACCAUAGGCAGAUUCAAUAGAAUAAAGAAGUAAAGAAUAAUUUAGCAUCCGUAGUCCUUCAUUCUGCCAAAUAUGUGAUUUGUGAGAGUGACUCUAUUACACCCACACAUGUUAAUAAUCUUAUAUAUUCGAAAAUAUGUGGAAGUGAUGGAAUACCUCCGAAGAGUUAAGACGCUGCUCCCAAGCUCUAAAUACUGUCUUCACACUUCCAGGCACAGCCUCGUUCAGUGCGGAUACCUUUCGUACAACCAAAAUUUUCAGUCAUCAUUUUGCUAAAAAAAGCAAAAUAUCAUCCAACAUAUCCACGGUUUAGGUUCUGAUAUAUGAUCGAACAUAAAACAUAUGAGUAGUUACGAAGCGUUUCCCAGAUGAAGUCACAUUCAACCUAAACAACAGUUGCAUAUUUAUUUACACAAUUAGCACCCCAAGUUUGUCACGCAUAAGUACUAGAAAUCUAGAAAAUUCUACAUAUAUUUUUCCCAAAAAAAACCCGAAACAAUGAUAAUAAUAACAGAAACAAAGCCACAUCACAACUCUACUAAGAGAAGUUCAAUAAAAAAAAGAAUCAUAACUAGUGAAAUCACCACAAGAUUACCGAAACACAGACUAUAUCAGAUUUUUUCCUCAGCACGGCGAUAUAAUAUAAAUUAUAAACCAAUCUAAUUCACCGGACAAAAUUUUCGGAAAAGCAACCACCUCGCCGCCGGAAAUUUCCGACGAAGGAAUUUCCUACGUCUACGAAUUGAUUGUUGGAACAACCAAAUUCUUCAAGUGAUUGAGGCAACAAUUUAAAUCGGCGAGGACAAAAAGUACAGUGCAUAUCGGAGCUCGCAAAUUAAUUAAAAAUAUAAUCGAAGUUAGGAGGCAUGGGGGAAACCUUGGAGAGAUCUAUGUGCUUGUAGAGAGACCAAUCGGUGGAGCAAUCAUGUUCAUCGCAGCUGUGAUCGUGCAAGCAUGCCAUUUCUCUGCUCGGUUUCUGUACUGUGUGCGUAUUAGUGUGUCUUACUGUGUGAAACCGAAAAAUCUUUGAGAAGCGUGUCUAUGCUCUUUUUACUAUUUGUUUUGAGGGCAUCUUUUGACUUGAAAGGAAGUUCUAUUUCAUGUUUGGAUAACAUAAUAAUAAAAGGGUAAAGUAGACCUUUAACAAAAUUUGGAGUGGGUUUAAUAUUAACUAAAUCAAAUUGUAAACGGAUAAGGACAAACUUUAUUCGAAUUUUGUUCCAAAAAUUCGAUAAUUGUUGAGAAUCGGAAUAAAAAAAAUUGUUCGAAAUUCUAAAAAUAAUGGGAUCAGAACGUAAAAUUCAUUAUUUUUGUUUAUCUAUAAAAUAAAAUGCAUGAAAAUAUUAAUAUUAUAAAUGUAACAAUUUAAGAAAAAAACAAUUUUGUUAUUUUUAUAUAUUAAAAAAUUAAAAUUGAAUCGAAUGUCAUAUUUAGUCAAAUAAUCUGAAAAUUUUGCAAUUAGAAUUUUCGAAAUUGGGGAUAAAAAUGUUGUUUCUAAAUUAAUUUACUUUUCUUUUUGUUUUUCUAACAACAUCGUAAUUCAAAAAAUUUAUAUCAAUUUUCUUUUGUUAAUUUUCAAUUUAUAACUCAUUUAUAUUUCUUUUGACUCAAGUAAUUUCCCAAUGAAACUAGGAUCAAUGGUGAAAAAAGGUUAAACGAUAUAAACGAUAAUACAUUAAAAAAAAUCAUUGAUAGAGAAAUCUCAUAGUCAAUUUAGAAAAUAAAAUAUUGUAUAUAUAUAUAUAUAUAUUAAUCCUUAUAUCGUUCAAUUCAAGAAAUAAAGUUAAAGUCCAGCAUGGAGUGUAUCACUAUGAAAUUAGAAUUCUAUUAGACAAAGGAGUCUAAAAUACUCUAUUAUAAAUAACGAGUUAACCUCGUUUAAGCUUUUCAUCAUUCACGCAAAAUACAAUUCUCCAAACGAUUAUUAGUGCUGCAAAUUUUCUGUUUUUCUGUCUUAGGUAGCUAGUCAUCAAUCAAAAUUUUCUGUCUUAGGUAGCUAGUCAAAUCAACAUGUAUCAAGUCGCGAGUGCAUCAGAGUACUUGGUGGUGACCGGUGCCGGAAUACCCGACAUAAAAAUCUCGAAGAAAGCAUGGAUAUUCCCCGGCCAAACGUACACAAAAUUCGACGUAUCUCCAGUGAACUACACGUUCGAAGUACAAGCCAUGAGCGCGGAGAAACUCCCGUUCAUCCUCCCGGCCGUAUUCACGAUCGGCCCACGCAUAGACGACGAGGCCAGCCUACUCAAGUACGCCAAGUUGAUCUCCCCACACGACAAGCUCUCCCACCAUGUCAAGGAACUCGUGCAGGGCAUUAUCGAAGGCGAGACUCGAGUCCUCGCUGCUUCGAUGACGAUGGAGGAGAUUUUCAAAGGGACCAAAGAGUUCAAACAGGAAGUCUUUGGGAAGGUUCAAUUGGAGCUCGACCAAUUCGGGCUACUGAUUUACAAUGCUAACGUGAAGCAGCUUGUCGAUGUACCUGGCCACGAGUAUUUUUCCUACUUGGGGCAGAAAACUCAGAUGGAGGCGGCGAAUCAGGCGAAGGUUGACGUGGCGGAGGCGAAGAUGAAGGGUGAUUUGGGGUCGAAGCUGAGGGAGGGGGAGACGCUUAGGAAUGCGGCGGCGAUUGAUGCGGAGACGAAGAUUGCGUCGACGCAAAGGCAGGGAGAGGGGAAGAAGGAGGAGAUAAAGGUGAGGACUGAGGUCAAGGUAUUUGAGAAUCAGAGGGAGGCUGAGGUGGCGGAGGCGAACGCUGAGCUGGCGAAGAAGAAGGCCGGUUGGGCGAAGGAGGCGCAGGUGGCGGAGGUUGAGGCAAGCAAGGCUGUUGCUUUGAGGGAUGCUGAGCUGCAGAGGGAGGUCGAGACGAUGAACGCCUUGACUCAGACGGAGAAGCUCAAGGCUCAGUUCUUGAGCAAAGCCGGAGUCGAAUACGAAACAAAGGUGUAUAUAUAUAUAUAUAUUUUUUUUUUUUUUUAAUAUUGUUGAUAUUAACCUCUCAUCUACAAAAUUUAAGUUGCUAGUAGUUAUGGAAAUUAGAACAGAAUUUCAAUUUCGAAAAUAAUUACGAAAAUUUCAAUUUUUCCAAAAAACUGUACUUAUAUUAUCAAUAUAUUUUAGAAUGUAUUUUAUUAUUAGGUGAUUAAGAAAAUUUAGAAUUUUUCAAAACCCACCGGUCCAAAAAUUCCCUAUUUUGGAACAAAAAGUUUCCAUUUUUUUUCGAUUUUUUUUUAACAUAAUUAUUUAGUUUUUCGAUCAUGAAUAAUUCAAAUUCCAACCAUCUGAUUAAUUGAUUAUCUUGUUUAUUGUAACAAAUAAAAGGUCCAAGAGGCGAAUUGGGAGCUUUACAAGAAGCAAAAAGCGGCAGAAGCGUACCUGUACGAGAAGGAGAAGGAGGCACAGGCACAGAAAGCAGUAGCAGAUGCUUCUUUUUACCAGCGGAAACAAGUGGUGGACGGUGAUUUGUACGCAAAGAUGAAGGAAGCUGAAGGGCUGAAAGCACUUGCCGAAGCUCAGGGCACUUACAUACGCACACUUCUCGACGCAAUGGGCGGAAACUACGCGGCGUUGAGGGAUUACUUGAUGAUCUCCGGCGGUAUGUACCAGGAUAUAGCCAAGAUUAACUCCGAGGCUGUGCGUGGGCUCCAGCCAAAGAUCAGCAUUUGGACCAACGGAAGUGGAAGCGGUGAUGGUGGCGACAAUAGUGCGAUGAAGGAAGUUGCCGGAGUUUACAAGAUGCUGCCGCCGCUAUUCAAGACUGUUAAUGAGCAGACUGGCAUGCUCCCGCCUUCAUGGAUGGGCACUUUGACCGACGACUCUACGUCAAACAAUUGAUAUCAUCAUAUCAAUAAUUCAGUAUCUACAUAGCUAUAUAUUAAUUAGGUUUAGAUGCUUCUUUUUUCAUGCUUACUUAUUUCAUAAUUAGGUUUAGAUGCUUCUUUUUUCAUGUUUAAUUAACAAUUGCUUUCUGGCAUUUUUUUCUUAAUUCCUACUACUAUACAUUAGCAAUCAAAUCAAAAUAGCUUUAUUUUUCUUCAUCAUUAACCUCUGUUGCUUAUUAAUAUUCAUCAUAUAUCUUUUAGUACUGUUUAUUCUUGACAAACUUUCAAUAUGACACGGGGAUUUAUUAAAAGUCGACAUCGAAGCUCGCAAAUUAUAUAAAAAAAUUGAAGUUAGAAACCAUGGGUUAAACCUUUGGGAGAUCUAUGUUCAAUAUUAAUAGCAAGUUCCGAUAAAUAUUAAUAGCAAGUUUCGAUAAUAAUUGAAAACUAAAUACCGAUUCAAAUUCAGCCAGGUGUAACAUCUAAUUUCCCGGUUCAAAUUCAGCCAGGUGUAACAUCUAAUUUCCGCAAAAAUGAUUAACAAUAAAUAUUUGAAGUUUUGACUCGGUUACAGAUCAUAUACGAAAUAAAAGAUGGAAAAAUUCUUAUUAAACCACUAACAAACUCUCACGUAAACAUAGUGGCAAAUCUAACAGAACCUUGUUGGUUCAUUCAGACAAUUCAUCAAACAGUUGGGCUGCUAAUUUUGUCACACCAAAUCAAUCAGUAUGUACAGAGUUGCUAAAGCAUCGGAGUACCUGGUGGUGACCGGCGUGGGAAUCAUCGACAUCAAACUCGCGAAGAAAGCAUGGGUAUUCCCCGGCCAAUCCUACAGCAAAUUCGACGUAUCUCCGGUGAACUACACCUUCGAGGUGCAGGCCAUGAGCUCGGAGAAGCUCCCGUUCAUCCUCCCCGCCGUGUUCACGAUCGGCCCGCGCAUCGAUGACGAGGAAAGCCUCUUCAAGUACGCCAAGCUCAUCGCCCCACACGACAAGCUCUCAUGCCACAACAAAGAACUCGUGCAGGGGAUUAUCGAAGGAGAGACUCGAGUUCUGGCCGCUUCGAUGACAAUGGAGGAGAUUUUCAGAGGGACCAAAGAAUUCAAACAGGAAGUCUUCGAGAAAGUUCAAUUGGAAUUGAACCAAUUCGGGCUACUCAUCUACAACGCGAACGUGAAGCAGCUGGUGGAUGUACCUGGUCAUGAGUAUUUUUCCUACUUGGGGCAGAAAACUCAGAUGGAGGCGGCGAAUCAGGCGAAGGUUGACGUGGCGGAGGCGAAGAAGAAGGGGGAUCUGGGAUCGAAGGAGAAGGAGGGGGAGACUCUCCGGAACGCGGCGGCGAUCGACGCGGAGACGAAGAUUGCGUCGACGCAGAGGCAGGGGGAGGGGAAGAAGGAGGAGAUAAAGGUGAAGGCUGAGGUGAAGAUUUUCGAGAAUCUGAGGGAGGCUGAGCUGGCGGAGGCGAAUGCUGACCUGGCGAAGAAGAAGGCUGGUUGGUCGAGGGAAGCGCAGGUGGCGGAGAUUGAGGCAAACAAGGCGGUGGCUUUGAGGGAUGCUGAGUUGCAGAAGGAGGUCGAGGAGAUGAACGCCUUGACUCAGACGGAGAAGCUCAAGGCUCAGUUCUUGAGCAAAGCCGGCGUUGAGUACGAAACCAAGGUAUAUAUAUAGUUUCCACUUUGCACCAAUUUAAAGCAUUUUGUUUUUUUCGUCAAUUUACAGUUAGUCUGUUAGCUAAAGCAGUGAUGGAUACACGCUUGAUUCCAUUAGUUUCAGCGAUGGGAAACGUGAGGGAUGAAAACUGUAUUUUUCCCGUUAAAACGUAUUAGCUGGAAUGUUUUGAUGUGUUGAUUGAUUGUCUCGUGUUUCUUGUUUCUUUUCACCACAACACGACAAAAAAAUACGCAAAUAAAAGGCCCAAGAGGCGAAUUGGGAGCUAUACAAGAAGCAGAAAGAGGCCGAAGCACAUCUCUACCAGAAGGAGAAAGAGGCGCAAGCACAGAAAGCAACGGCGGAGGCCGGAUUCUACGGGCGGAAGCAAGCGGCGGACGGAGAUUUCUACGCCAAGAUAAAGGAAGCGGAAGGUCUGAAAGCACUAGCGGAAGCUCAGGGGGCUUACGUACGCACGCUUCUCGACGCAAUGGGCGGAAACUACGCGGCGUUGAGAGAUUACUUGAUGAUCUCCGGCGGCAUGUAUCAGGAUAUAGCCAAGAUUAACGCCGAGGCUGUGCGUGGGCUUCAGCCCAAGAUCAGCAUUUGGACUAACGGAAGCGGUGACGGUCAACAACAGAGUGGUAGUAAUAAUGCCAUGAAUGAAGUUGCCGGCGUUUACAAGAUGCUGCCGCCGUUAUUCAAGACCGUUAAUGAGCAGACUGGGAUGCUCCCGCCUUCAUGGAUGGGCACUUUGACCGACUCCACAAUAAAUAAUUGACCUUAUAUUAAUACCGAACCAAACUGAAAUAAUCGAUACAAAUUAAUUUUUGAAAUGAGGAGGAUCCAUCACAUUUAUUAAUAUUUUCAUAGAGCAUAUUAAUUAUUUAUUUAUAUUUGAAAUAAAUUACGGUCCGUUGGGCCAUAAUUUAAUAUGCUACUAAUUUAUUAACAGUUGAGACUUGAGCCAUUGAAAGGCCAACUUAUUCCAAGGUGAUAUUCAAUAUAUUUAUUUCUUUAUUAUCUCUAAAAUAAAAAUAUAUAAUAAUAUCGAUAUUAUAAAUCUAAUUUUCUUAAUUGAAUCAAGAUUUUGUUUUUUUUUACUAUUUUUUCGUAAAUUAAAAUCAAAUAAAUAAUUAUAAAUCUCAUAUAUUCCAAUUUUAAUUUAAAAAAAAAAAAAAAGAAAUUCUGAAAAAUCAGAAUAGAAAUCCUGAAAUUUAAUUCCAAUUUUUACUCAAUUAUUUCUGUUACCAAACACACCGUUCAACUCGUUCAGUCUCUCUCAAUUAAUAUUUUCGAAAUGUCAAAAUCACCCACAAAAUCCCAGAGCACCUUGAAACAAACGAGAACGCGAAAAUGGAAGUAACAGAGUACCGGAAUCCAAACCCACCGCCGGGUGGCCGCCCUCCAUCUCCGCCGGCGCAGGGAAACGGCGGAGGAUACACUCUUCCGGCAGGUCAAUUUUCAAGCGAGGACAUACUGUUCUGCAUCGACAUGGGUCCAGAAACAAUGGCGGAGAUGAAGGUAAACGGGCCCAAUGGUCGACCCUACACCAGAUUGGACUCCAUCAAGCAAGCUAUUCUGCUAUUCGUCCACGCUAAGCUCACCAUCAAUUCCGAUCACCGAUUCGCCUUCGCCGCCCUCUCGAAAUCCACUUAUUGGGUAAUUUAUUUAUUGCUUCAUUUUACUGGUAUUAUUGUAUAAUCGCUAUAGAAUUCAGGUAAAUUUAUCUACGCUCGAAUUGUUGGAAACGAUCUCUUGUUAGCUAUAUUGGGUUGGGAAUUGGAAUUACCGUAUGCUCAUUAUUUAGGUGCCACACUGCCACUAACUUAUUCAAGUAGGCAUUGGAUUUUUUAUGAUGAUUGGAUUUUGCUGAUUUGUUUUACAAGUAACGAUGGGUGUAUAAGAUUUUAAAUUGGGUAAGAUUUUACAAGUAAUGAAUUCAUUUUAUUUGGGGUGAACUGUAGAUUUUACAAGUAAUUGAUAGGAUUUUCAAAACCCUACUGUUCAACAUUAGUUGCUGAAUUAGGUAAGAAGAACACGUGCCAGUGGCAUCAAGUGCGUACGUGACAGAUCAUGUGCUUUUUAGUAGGCAAUGAAAAUAAAUGAGUAAUUACCAUCGAAAGCGUUCUUCUGUGAAAAUCGAAGUUUUUGAAGAAGUCGCCUUGACAUUGGAGUAUAUUGUGUGUUCAGCUUCAGCCCUAAAACUUGAUCUCUUUCGUUCUUUGGCUUGGUUUUUUAGCAAACUGCACCUUAAUUGGUAAAAUGCUCUGUUUAACAUGAUAUGCUAGUAUGUAGUACCCAAAUGUUUUGCUACUCUUUAGAUUAUUGUAUUAAAAUCAACUUGGUGGUGGAUUCGAUUCUAUGUUCUAGCAUGUUUGUCACUAUUGCUUAGAUGCAUGCCUUAUCAGGACACCAUUUUUUUUUCCUUUUCUAUUUCUUUGUAUGAAUAUGAACUAUAUAGAUAUUUAUUCAUAUAUCAUUGCCUCAAGUUUAGAGAUCAUCGUACCUAUACCAAUGAUAAGUCACAUCUCAGCUGGUAUUUUCUGUUCUCUACUGGGUUUGACCAUGUAAUCUGUUAGUUAAUGUUUUGUCAUAUGUUUCUGGAUUAUAAUGCCGGAAAAUUUAAAUGCUGCUAGAUGCACUGGUUAGGGAAAAUCGAUGAGUUGGUUUAAAUGGUGGACUUAGAGGAAUGGACCAGUCUAAAAAUUAAAGAACCUGGAUCAUUAUAACAUGAAUUUAAGGAUACACAUUAUUUCAUCCCGUUUCCGAGUAUUCAGUUGUCAUCAGUGAUAUGCAACUUCUUACAGAAACAAUUUUAUUAUCUUCCUUUUAUUUUCAUUUUGUUAGUGAGGUAAAUCAUUUUUUAUAGUUUGAACACAUGGGUCUGAUUUUAUCCUUUGUCUUUUGUGAAGAUACGAAAAGAGUUCAGCAGUGAAGUUGACUCUGUGAUUGCUGCUUUGCAAAGUAUCUCAGUCGACUCAUCUUCCAGUCAUGCAGAUCUCACUCAACUAUUCAGAGUUGCAACUCAUGAAGCUAAGAAAUCCCGUGCACAAAAUCGGAUAUUGCGUGUGGUGAGUAACCACCACUUAACUCGUCUAGUUAUUUUUUUCGUAAUCUCUUGAUCUUGUCUGGAUUCUUUGGCCAUUUUUUUGCCAUUUUAGAUAAAUAAAAACACUUCUACCUAUCAUCUUUCGUACUUUCUAUUCUAGAUCAUACAUGUAAUUGAAUGAGUUUCGAUUAUAUUUUCCAAGAGAUAGUCAGUCUUCUAUCAAAAUAUGAAACAUCCGUAAAAGAGUAGUGAAUCAUCUCCUCAUUCUUUACUGGGUUAUUGAGAUUCAUAUAAAAAAAAAUAUAUAAAAAAAAAAUCCUGAUUUAUGGCUCCAUAUUCAUGCAAAACAAUGUAUUCUGUUGUUGCAGAUCUUGCUCUACUGUAGGUCAUCCAUGCCUCCACUAUAUCAAUUGCCUUCGACUCUGAAACUCUUCACGUUGGAUGUAAUGUACCUCCACGAUAAGCCCAGCCCUGAUAAUUGUCCGCAGACAGUGUACGAUACCCUGGUGGAGGCUCUUGAACAGGUCACUGAAUUCGAAGGCUACAUAUUUGAGAGUGGUCAAGGGCUAACACGCUCCCUUUUCCGCCACAUGUGCGUGCUCUUGUGUCAUCCUCAGCAACGCUGUGCGCAUGAUGAGGUGGACAUACCAAAGUCUCUGACCAGGAAAACUCUUGCAGUAGCAGACGCAUCACAGGGCGAUGAUAGUGUUGUUGUCUCCAGCCAAUGAGAUUCAACUGUCUGUUAAAUCAAGAAUCAAGAUAAAACUUUUAUGAAUAUGAAAUCUCUCUUUCUUGUGUUGUCUGUGUAAUCUGUGAAUUUAUCGUCUAACUUUGUGUUUCGUGUAUGGAUAGAAGUAUCAACACUGUUGUGAUGAUGGAGUUCUUAAUGAAAAAAAAGAAAAUUCCCAAUGAUCUUUUUCUUUUGUUUUUUUUUUUUUUUUUUUGCUUAAAUUGUGGAAUAAAAUAAAAGUUGAUGCAUUAUUGGAUUCAUAUUCUUGAAUUUUUUUUUAUUAUUUUUGUAGAAGAAAUCGAGACUUAUUGUGGAUAAGAUGAAUGAGUUUUAGUUCAAAAUCAUUAUGUUUCUUCUUCUUCUUCAGACCUCAAUAAUGGAGUUCAAUAUUCAUAUAUGUUGAAUGGAUGAUCUGAUCCAAAUAUGGGAUUGAAUUAUGGCGAUGUGUAUUAUUAUGCCUCUAAUAUAAUAUCUUCAAUCAAGUUUGAAAUUUUGAGAUUGUGAUAACCACUAACAUUACAAUACUUCAUUUUCGAAAAAAAAAUUAAAUCGGAUUAGUCAAAUAAUUUAAUUUUAAAUAACGACUUCGAUUUUUUUGAUUCGAUUCAUUACUUGCAAGCUUCUAGAAAUGCACAAGUGUAACUGAAAUUUCAUACAAUUUGAUUUAUUCAAAACUAUUUAUCAGCAUGCAGGCCACAGGCAUCUUACUUCUGUAGUGAUGAUGCUGUAAAACAAAAGGAAGAAUAAGAAGAGGAUCAGAAUCUGACGAGGACAAAAGAAUAAUAUACAAUCCAUAGGAGACCCGUUUUGCAAUUAUGAAAAAUACAUGGAAAGGGUAGGGUUAAAUUGAAUUUUGAAUGACAUUUGCUAAUAUAAUUUAUACUCGUAUUUAUAUUCUCUGACUACACAUUAAAUGGUUUCAAAAGCUUAAACUUUCAUGAAGAAGCAAAAUGAUUUCAUCGUUGCAACUUACAAUUAAUUUUAAAUGUAUUCCAUUAAUUUCGAUGUCAUAUUAUUGCCCUUUCAUGAUAUUGUAACGUCUUUCAUUUGCUUAAUGAACUCAAUUUAAUUUGUCCAAUUACCAAAAUAAGUUGUGAGUUGUGGUGACAAACCUCAAUAAAUAAACAAUACAAAAAUAAACUCUUCUUUGCUUUAUCUAAUUGGAUUAAAGAGGUGUGCAAUAUACAUUCAAUAAAUCAGUAUGAUGAAUAAGUUGAUUGUUACAUAAUUAAGGGUUAUUAGAAAAAGGUUAUUAUUGGAUUAAAAUAUUCAUUUAUCAAACCAAACUAAGUCGCGAAUACACACGUGGCAUGGGUGGGGGCAAUUCGGGGGACAAAAAACAUGAAAACUAAACAGAGUAUUGUUUGUCAAACAUCUGUUUUUUUUUUUCUUCCAAACCUUUCGGUUGCUCCAAUCAGCUUUGGAACAUUGUACAUUAUUAUUAUUAUAUAAAUGUAAUUAUUAAUAAUAAAUAAAUACAAGUAUGUGGACAAGAUCCUCAUUAAUUUUGGACCUUUCAUCAAUAUUCCUAGCCACCAUUUUUGUUUUUAAAAUCACCAAAGUCAACUGAAGUAGAUGCCAAUUAUCAUCAAAUUGGGAAAAAGUCAACUACACUCCAAGAAUCAAAUUCUAUCUUAUGAGGUGUGAUGUGAGGAGGUUCUUUAAUUUCACUACUAGUAGUAGUAAUAAUAUUUUUACUUUUCACUAUAAAGUACUCCCUCCGUCCCAAUUUAAAUGACGUUUUGGGUUGUUACACACAUAUUAAGAAAAUCAAUAAAUGUGUAUAGAUUAUAGUGAAAAGCAUAGGAAAAUACUAAUAUAUCCUUGACAUUAAUUAUUUUACAACUAACAAAUUAGGAGUGAUAAAAGGUAAAAUUGAAAAUAAUGCAAUUAAUGAUGCAUUGAAAAUCUAAAAUGACAAAUAAAUUGGGACAAAAAAAACUCUCUAAAAAGAAAUAUAAUAUGGGACAUAGGGAGUAAUAAGUAGCCAAUAAAAUCUCAAUAUGAAGGUCAAAAUUUUGAUUAACUUUUUUUUUUUAUCACUAGUUUUUUUUGACAUGAAAAACUUUGAAGCUUUGAAUGUUAAUCUUAUUGUCUACUUUUACUAAUUAUAUAAUCUUUAAUUAAUUAAUUAAUUAAUUAAUUACGUUUCAUAGUGCCACAAACUUGGGAAGGGCUUUAUCACCAGUUGGCAUUGCUAUUAAUUUAAUAUUAUAGUUCCUAAAAAUUGCAUCAUAAAUAAUGUAUGCUUCAUUUAUUUAUUUAUUUGACAGCUUAUUUUUUUCUUGCUGGAAAACAAAGUGAUUAGAUGUUGCAUUCAAGCUUUAAUGCGUGUGGACAUUUUAUAUUAAACAAUUACCUAGAAUUAUGAUUAAUCAUAGUGUUUCUUUCUGGAAUUUUAAUUCCACCUGUUUUUUUUUCAUAUUACUUAUUAAUUAAGAUUUAGACCUCGAAUUAGCUUUCUAAUUAGACCAAUUAAGGAGAAAAAUUAAACAAAUAAUUAAUAAAGACAGACAGCUCAAAUUGGUUUAGCAAGCAAUAUAAUCCAUUACUAAAACAUUUUAUUUUAUGGAAUUAUUGUCCAAAGGAAAUCAAAAAAAAAAAAAACUCUUAUUUAUUUAUUUAUAUAAUAUUUGGUAUAUUUAAAUUUAAAAAAUUGAAAGUCAAAACCCAAAUAGGUGAAAUUGGUUAUUAUUAUAGUGGGGCACCUGUUUUCUGCAUACUAAUUAAAUCCUACAUAAGUACACAUCGGAUUGCCCUUUGAAAUGAAUCUUGGGGUAGCCUUUAAUAUUAAUCUAACAAUUAAACUAUUCUUUUAUGAAUUAGAACAAUAAAAUAAAAGCAAUAACUCAAUUAUUGAACCACAUUGCAAAAAAUUUCAACUCUCUACUAUUCUUUUAAGAGUUAAAUGCAAAAACACCCCCUGUGAUUUUCCUAAACACCAAAAAACCCCCUAGGUAAAAUUAAGUGACUAAAACCCCCCUGUGAUCAGUAGUCAAAGUCAUAAACCCCCCUCUAUCUCAUUCGUGUCAUGCACGCGCUACCAGCGCGACUGCUGGUGCGAUUUUUUGUGUGAAAAGACGCAAGUGCCCCUCUAAAUCUCUCUUUAGUUUUUCUUGUACCAUUUUAAACAAAAACAAAAGAAAAAAAUCACUAAAUAUAAAUGAAUUAAUUAAAAAAGAACAAAACACAAAAAAAAAAAACCAAAAAAAAACAAAAAAAAAAAAAAAGAAAUUGGAAUUUCUUCCUCCCGUCAAACUGACGACCAACCCCAAAUUCAUCUUCUUCGCCCAUUUUGUUGUCCGACAUCGCCAUCUUCUCCGACGUUGCCCAGCGACCGCCGCCGCCGCUCCUGCUGCUGCCGCCGCCGCCGCCGCGAGUUCAGAUCUUCUCUAAAGUCGUCGCCAAUCGAGGUCCGGCGAGCUACACUUCGCCGAAUUCUCCGACGAAUAGCAAAGCCCAUCGCAAAAUCCUCUCAAACACAGCUGCCGUUGCAGCCGCCGUUGAGCUAUGAGCUGAGAAAUUGAAAUUGAAGUGUGCGUUGUUUUUUUUUUUCAAUUGGAGAAGAGGGCUAAAUUGAAAGUGCUAGGGACUGAAUUGAAAAUUUUGAAAAUUUCAUUUGAGUCAUAAAAUUCUAGAGGUUGGAUAUAUUUAUCUGAAGGGCAUUUUUGUCUUUUCGCGAGCGGUCAACAGACAAAAACAAAAAAGGGUCGAGUGUGCCUCAUUGAGCAUUUGUUAGGGGGGUUUUGGUGACUUAUUUUUUCCCAGGGGGUUUUUUGGCCUUUAGGAAUUACACAGGGGGUGUUUUUGCAUUUAACUCAUUCUUUUAAUGAAUUAAAAUAUUCAGCAAAUUAAUUACCUGCAUAUUCCAUUGUCCCCCAUUCCUUAUAAAUGGGGACUACCUCUUUGAUUCCUAAAGUACACAACAAAAAUUUAAUUAAUAAAAAGAAAAAAAGAAAAAAGAAAAAUGGGAAUCUGUGCUUCGAGUUCAUCUUCAUUAAUACAUGACGAUAAUUUCGGGCAUGAAAAUGCUGUUUACCACACCGAAAUUACUACUUCCAAUACAAACAAUGGAUCACAGAGAAGAAUCGGGUCAACAUAUUCUCAUACUGGAAGCAAGGGAUUGAAUCAAGAUACUGCUAUUCUUUUCCAGGUACACAUUAAACCUUUUUUUUUUUUUUAAUUGUUGAAUUUUAAAUUAAAAAUAAAAUAAUUUUAAUUUUAAUUUUGUUUAGGGGUAUGGAAAUGAAAAAGGAGUAUAUUGUGGGAUAUAUGAUGGGCAUGGGCAAAAUGGGCACGUGGUGAGUAAGAUGGUGAGAAACCGGCUACCGGCUUUGAUUUUGAGCCAGAUGACCGAAAAGUUCGGAAGUGGUGACCAAUCAGGAUUGAGUAUUAUUAAUUUGGUUAAAUGGAAAGAAGCUUGCAUGAGUUCAUUCAAAGUUGUUGACAAGGAAAUUAAACUUGUUGAUGGUUUGGAUUGUUCUUGCAGUGGCUCCACUGCUGUUGUUGUUAUUAAACAGGUAAUUAAAUAUAUUUUGAUUUUUUUUUUUUUUUUUUUUUUUUGGGUUUUUUUUUUUUUUUUGUGUGUGUGUGUAUUGACGGUGUAUAACUGCGUGUAUAGGGUGAAGAUCUUGUUGUAGCAAAUCUGGGAGACUCAAGGGCAGUUUUAGGAACAAGAAGUGAGGAUGGAAUCAUGGCCGUUCAAUUAACUACUGAUCUCAAACCUGGAGUAAAAUGUAAGAAUAAUUUAUUUUGUAGUCUCUAUAAUGCAACGAGUUUAUUGCAUUUAGUACCCCUGUAUUAUAUCAAAUUGCUAAAAAACUCCUCGUAUUAUUGAUAUUAGCAAAAAAAACCCUUUUAAUGCUUUUUUUGGCGCAUUAGUCACUAAAAAGUGCAAUUUAGGGGGCAGUUUGCUAAUAGGGUGUUUUUGCUAAUAUAAUAACACGGGGAGGUUUUUAGCAAUUAGAUAAAACAGAGGGGCGUUGAAUGCAAUAAACCCAUAAUGCAACAUAUUAUGAAUUAAAACAUAAUAAAAAAAUUAAUAAAAAAAAUAUGUGCAGCUGAAGCAGAGAGAAUAAGAAGGUUGAAUGGAAGAGUAGUUGCAUUGGAAGCAGAACCACAUAUUCAGAGGGUGUGGCUGCCUUAUGAGAACUCACCCGGCCUAGCAAUGUCGCGUGCUUUCGGAGAUUUCGUGCUAAAAAAUCACGGCAUUAUUUGCAUACCUGAUGUCACCUACCACCGUUUAACUCCAAACGACGAGUUCAUUGUUCUUGCCAGUGACGGGGUAAGAAAUAAGCGCAACUCAAAAUAAAACCAAAAAAAAAUCGAUAUACCAAAAUAUUUUUUCGCGAUUAAUGAUUUUAAUUUUUUUUUUCAGGUGUGGGAUGUGAUGAGUAACAAUGAAGUUAUGGGGGUAGUCUCCUCGUCUGCACAUAACGAAGAGGCAGCGGCGAAAGCAGUGGUGGAUGCUGCGAUUGCUUCGUGGAAACACAAGUUUCCGAACUCGAAGAGAGACGACUGCACAGCUAUUUGUCUCUUUUUGCAAUAAAUCAGUAGUGUGAGGACUUGUGCAGAUAAUUCAAACUUUCUUGAAUAUGAGAUUGUGCACAAUCAUAAAGUUCACUUGGGGAUGUUGUAAUGAAAAUUAGUUGUUUGGGUUAUCUGAUGAUUUGGUUGUGACAAAUCAGAGGCCUGUACUAGAGGUUAAUACUAUAGUAGAUAACUGGGAACCAAUUAGAAUUGGAACUCUAAGCUUGAUUAACGAAUAAUGUUUGUAUAUUUUAGCCUUUUUUUCUCUCAUUUUGAGUGGUAAUAAUAAUAAAUAAAUAAAAUAAUUCUUUUUCUAUGAAAUGAUUUGUCUUAUUUAAAAGGUUAAUACAUGCAUAAUUAGCCAAAUCAUCAUUUCUCAAAAAAAAAAAAAAAAAAUUAAAAAAUUAAAAUAAACAAUUUCAAGAAACGAAACAUGUGCAUGUUCUCGAUUUCUCAUCAUUACUAUAUGCUUAUCUCAAGAGAUGCAAAAACACGAAUCGAAACAACUGAGCCCCACAAAAUCGGAAAGAAAAAGGUCAAAAAGAGUAUUUCAGAAGAUUUUUUUAUCAUUAAAACCAGAAGGGUAUUUUUUUUAAAAAAGAUGGUCUUCUGAUUGUUCUGAAAAAUGAAGGCAGCGUUUCAUUCGAGUGAAUCUAAUUUAUCUUUUGGAUCCUCUUAGUUGCCAAACAGAUCGUCAUAUGUUACUGGCAUUCGUAUUCGAUCAUGAACAGAAGCACGUUUCUGUCCAGGUGUCGUGAUUUCAUGAUGGCUUUGAUCAUGAGAUGUAAGAUCUGGACCGUCCGAUGGAUUAGGUGUUGCUAGCUUGGCAUUAACAGUGUUGUUCUGCGAAGAAGCCCCUGCUUGUUGCUUAGGUUCUUGCUUAUCGAGAAGUUGCUGCUUGAAUUGCUUCUGCAAAGUACAUUAAACUAACACAUCAGCACUUCAAUACUAAAUACAAGGACAGCAAAUUAACGAGGCAUGACUCAAGAGUGAAGUAUCAGGGAUCCUUAAAAUGUCAGAAGUUCAGACUUCAGACCAUAGAACCGAAUCAUUUUCAUUACUUACACAAUAGUAGCAAAUUAUUCAUCUGAGAGCAGUUUUAAGGGAAAAAGUAGUCAGACAAGAUUCAUUUCUUAAAAUUGACACAAGUAUUCUUCAACGAGUGCAAAACAAAACUGAGGAAACACCAUCGAAUAGAGAGAAGUUUGUUUUUUUUUUUUUUUUUGGGCUUUUAUUUGUGAUGGAAAAGAAGAGGAUGCAUGAGGUUUUGCUAAUAUUUGCAUAUGAGUGAUAACAAACCAACUUCUCAAAAUUCAACCGUUGCCCAAAUUUCUAACUUCAUCGAUGAUGCUGAUUUACUUAAGUAAUACAUAUCAAUGUUUUUAUACUUGAAAGGGAGAAUCCAACUGCAAAUUAAAAAUAUUCUACUUCCCUAAAGAAUUUUGCAGCAAAGCAAGAAUAAUGGCAUGAUUCACUUUAAGAAAGAAAAAAAAAAAAAAAAAAGAAGACAUACCUCAAACUCUUUUCCUUUUCUCAUAAUCUCUUUGUAAGCCUUUGGAUCACGCGAUUUGAUGAUAUUCCAUAAUAUUCCACCACCAUUCCGAGAACGUCUGCCGUCAACAGUCAUCUGACCUCCACAAGCCUGAAUUGCAUCAACCUACAAGUUUGCCUUUUCACGUUAACAAUCUUGGGAAUGAAGUUGAAUAAAAACAUCAGAGACGGGGGGAGCUAACAGCAAUCGCAUUCAAAUGGCGCAAGAAGACACGUUUCACAUAAUUCUAAACAUAAAACUUGCACAAAACAUUUUGAUCCUUAGGGCAUCAUAUUUCACAAUAAGCCAGAUACGAGUAUGUACACUUUAGCCCAUUGAGUUUCCAAUUUAGUUCAUCUCUUCAGUUAUAAAUGGAGAUUAAAUCUGACUAAAAGGUUCCCACCUCAUUUUUAAACUGAGUUUUUGUUUACGAUUAUCCAGAAUUUUAACCCCAUCUGUAGCAUAAACAUUUGUCUAACCCCACACAUGCAAUGUUCAUUUUCCAGCCCCUUUUUUUUCAAAAUUUAAAGGUCUGACAUUGUAUAGGUUCUACCAGUCUCAUGACAUGGGUGAGGAGGUUGGAAGAGUAACAGAUAGAGCAAAACCAUUUAAAUUAACCUACAUUAAUAGAAAUCGUGUUGUUUUUGGAAAUAAUCUAUCUCAGACGAAAAUUUCAUGUGCAUCGUAGCAAGGACUUCUUUGGUCUGAAGAAUCCGCGAUUUAAGUGAGAUAACAUCGAGGAUCAGAAAUAUGGAGGAAGUGGUCUUAAGCAUGUACAUCAAGACAGGUAACCAGAGUCUCACCUUUAUUCACAAUUACCAACUAUAUUUCAGAGUUUACCAAAAACUCCAGAUAGAUGGUUUAUAGAACUUUCAACAUCAACCACUACAAGGGAGUUCAUAUGAUUCAAGGCCAGAGAUCAGCCACAGUACAUUAAUCCACUUUGGAAAUUCCAAUAAUUAAUGCAAACAAGCAUGAUGGUAUCACGUAACAAGCGCAAAGGGUAUUAGUAAUAUACUACCAACAAGGACAAUGAUGUAAUAGAAAACUAAGCAGGCGUUCCUUUUUUUUUUUAUUCCCCAAAAUUCGCAUGCAAACACAUACCAAAAUUUAUCCAAAUAAUGAUGAUAUCUGAAGUAAUGAACUAUGACCAUCACCAGGGCACUGGAAGUUUUGACGUACUUCACUGGAUUCAAAUAUCACUGAAUGAUUAAUAAAAUGAAAUUAUAUUGCAUGAUGAGAAAUCCACAAAAAAAAGAAAGUGAUGCUACCUAUUUCUUCAUGUCUUUAGCAAAACUCGGAUCAGACUGAAUUGCAGGGUGCAGCAAAUCCUUCAAGUUAGUACUCCUUAUAUUAUUCAUAAACCGUGACUACCCUUUUUGUCAAUAAUUUCUAUCGGAAGAUGACAAAAGAGCAACAAGAUACUAUACAUUUUCACACUCAUGGAGAAACUCCUCUAACCGAGAUCGCAGACUACAUCAGAAGCCAAAUCAAGCGAAGUAUAGUAUCUAAAUUUAAGGAUUGCAAUUAUCUUAGUGGUGGAAAAAUAGGAAAAGGUCCAACAAACUAUCUUUCAUCAGAUCGAAACAAAAAACAAAAGGAACUUCACUAACCUCUUUGACAAGAUCGCUCAAAGCCGAGGCACCAAGACAAGCAACAGCAGUCCACAUAAGAUAGGAUUUCCUUUCUCUUAAACGAUAGCAUGCAUCAGAAACGAACCUAAUGAAAUUGGCAUGAAAAUAAAACAAUCACCAAAAUGUGGAAGUAAAUGCUGAAGUUGAGCAAAAUAAAAUAAGCUAUACAUUAUAAUACAAGAAGCAUCAUAAAAAAUAAAACUGUAGCUCAUGGACAGAUUAAACGAAUAACUAGCAAGAUGUGCAACAUGCGAUGUGUCAUGUGUGAACAAAUAUCAAGUAAACGAUUAUUUUUUAAUGAACAGUAACAAAAUCACACCAUAAAUGAGUAAUGUAAAACAAAUAUAAAAAAUGAAGCAACAUAAUGCCGUGAAAAAUAUCAAACCUGUCGAUAUCUGUUACGUUUGGGUCCUUACUGCUGCCUUUCUUUCUCUUGUUUUUCUUUUUCCGCUUCUUCUUCUUUAUCGAAGUCCCCCUGUUAGAUUCUUGAUUUACUUGAUUACAACCAACAUCAGAACUUUCUCCUAAUUUAGUCUUUGAAACCUGUUCAAUUAACUCACCCUCUUCAACAUCAAGCAUCUCAACAUCUUGUGCAUCCUCAAAACCUUCAUCGUCGAAAAUCGUGUCCAGCAAGCUUUCUCCUCCUUCCAUGUGAUCAAGUAGCUGCAGUAGCCAUUCAAGUCAAAUACUCUCCACAUAAGAGCAUAAAAUUGAACAAAAAAUUACAUUAAAUUGUGGUUUGCAGUAUUUAAACUGUACUUUGACAAACUUGUGUGUAAAUUGUAAUACUGGAUCGUAAUGACGAGCCAAACAUGAUAUAAUCUUUUAACAAAAAAUUUUGAAGCACCAAAAAUUAAUUCUCAACAACAUGUUCUGCUAAUAUGCUUCAACAAAACACCACGAGGAAGCCCUACCAAAACCAAAAAAAUACAUUGAAGAAAUGGUAAUUAUGGCGGCGCCUAAGAAAAAUGCAAUCAUGGCCAAAACAAACAAAAAUAGAAAAACGACUUAAUUUAUUUUCCUCGUACGAUAUUACCUGUAGGUUUCAGUUCAAAAUUCAAAUGAAACAACCCUAACAAAUUUAUGCAUAUAUAACAGAACAUAAUUGAAUACUGUGAAACGUAAACAGAGAAUUGAGUGUAGAAACGGAUAGAAAUCAAAAGAUAAAUAUUACUAACUCUGGAUUCUGGAAACUACUGCUGAAUAACCUCACGACCACCGAUAGCGGAGAGCUUCAACAGAGAACUGAGCAAAUUCUAAAUGAAGGAAAUAUUUUUAAGUUUUUUGUGUGGGCUUAUUGAUAUUGGUUCCAGUGUGGGCCGGGCCGAUUUUUAUUUCCUUUCCCUCUCACUAAAUCUACUGGGUUAUCGAAUUUCAAUUUAUUGGGUCAUCACUUCGUCAAUUUACGAGUUUUAAAAGAACAAAAUAAUAAUUAAUUAAUUAAUCAAUCAAUUAUUAAUUUAAAUUCGACAAAUUUAAAUCCUUUAAUUAAAAUGAAAUCAAGAGAAUUCUGAUAGGCCACUGGAUCUAUUGUUUGGAAAACAAAAAAAUUAUUUGGGUUUUUUUAUCGAACUCUGUUUGUUGAUUGGUAAUGAUGUGAUUGUGGUGUCAGCCUAGCUUGCUUUUACAUUAGCUUCUAGUUGAUCUUGGUCGGGAGCCGGUUCUAUAAGCUUCGACGAUCAAGUCAGAAGAGGGAUUUUAUUUGUAUGCUGUAUGUUUUAGUAAAAAAAAAUAAACACUAGUCCCAAGGAAUUUGAUAGGUAUUUUGUGUAUUGAAAUGCAAGAUUCAAUAUGAUGUUCAAUGUAAAUUUUUUUGUAUCUGAGUAUGCCGCAUUUAAUGAACUUUUAAGUUAAAUAAGUUUCAGUUCUCUUAAAAUAUCGAUCCGAGGUCUCGUCGUAACACCUUAUGACCAUAGCUCGUGUCAUCAUACGAUAUAAGGUGCUAACGGCGUUUUCUCCAUGAUAGAAUUUUAUAUGCUUUUUAACUGGGCUUUUAAUUUAGCCCUUCUUAUGAUUUUGUCACUUUAUUUAUGAAAAUAGUCCAAUAUCAAUUCAUUUGUGAUAGUAAAUGUAUGAAUAAAACCAAAGGGCUCUAUUUUCUUCUAUGUAGAUUGUCCGUAUUCUAUGAUUUUUCUUUUUUCAAAAUAAAACAUUCAGUAAAAAUAUAUAUAUAUAUAUAUAUAGUUUUUACUUUAUAGUGAUCUAAAUAUCUCAAUGGACGGUCCAAAUUCAUUGACAAAAUUGACAAUCAAGUGUAGGCUACACAAGUCUCUAUUUGGUAGGCCCCAGAUAUAAUGUUGGCUGGAGCUGGACCCAAACGUUAAUGACCAUUUCAAAAAAGCAAGGCCUUGCUUGGAACCAAUCACUGGAUGCCACGUCAAAUGCCAAUGUAGUUUGGAUCAACUGUAUUUGGAGUUUUAACAAAUGAUUGCUACAGAAAUUGAAGAUGCGAAGCAGAGAAUCCCACUCCCGUCGGUACUACGUCACUGAUGAAUCUCCUCUCUCUAUAUAUCCAUUAUAAAAUAUUCCUAACGCAACCAUACUCAAUUAUUGAUUUAUUUCCCACGAAGUCAGGGACGAUAGAUGAUGGUGAUGAUGAUACGCUACGUCGCCGGUGCACUCUUCCUCACUGCACUCUCGAUCCUGACCGUUGCCGACGGACGGCAUGAUUUCAUCAAGCUCCCCUCCGACGGAACCGCCGGAGCAGACGAUGAUUCCGUCGGCACCAGAUGGGCUGUCUUACUGGCAGGGUCGUCCGGUUACUGGAAUUACAGGCACCAGGUAAAUUCAUCUCGUCCCCCCUAAAACUAUAUAUAAUUUUUUUCGUUUAUUUGAAACAAUUGAAGCUUUACUUCUGUAAUUUUUGUUGGAUACUGUAAUUUUGACCCUUGGCUGUAGGUUUCAGCUAGUAAUUAUUGUAUUAUUGGAAGCCAUUUUUUUAAACAGCAUAUAGUGCUCUGUUUUAGUCUCUGAUGAUUAGUAACUAGUAACUACUGAUUUAGCAGAUCGUUUACUUUUUAAUUGCUGAUAAUUUCAAAAAUAUCUUCAAAUUUUUGAAAAGUUUUGUUUCUAGAAGCAUCUUCAUUUGUUUUGUCAUUAUUUUUUUUUUCUUCUGUUUGGGGGUGGAGGACCUUGUUGUUAUAAGUUGACCUUCAUGGAUAAAAUUAAUUGGUGCUGAAUAUUCAGAAUACGGAUCUUUAGUACUCGAUUUUCUGUAUAAUUGACUUAACAUUAAUAUUAUGUUAGCAUAUCACUAUUGCGAAAUCUCGUGUUUGUACAACGAAGGCAAAUAGGCGGGCAUUAGUGUCGAGCUAAGCAUUAUUCCGCUCCUUAUGGAAUUAGCUAUUCUAUAACCUGAUUGCAACCGUUGUAAUUAGUCAUCAAUGAUAAAUCCAUUGUUUAAUCCCAUACGAUGGUAUGUUGUCUGCAUACUUUAUCCGAAGGGCAAAUCAUGGAGGUUAAAUGUUGCUGUAAUAUAAUGAUAACAUCUUACGAUUAUUUUCCUCUAAUCUGGACACUAAUAUAAUUCGAGCGCUGUUUUGUACCAGGCUGAUAUCUGCCAUGCAUAUCAAAUCUUAAGGAAAGGUGGUCUGAAAGAUGAAAAUAUCAUCGUCUUUAUGUAUGACGACAUUGCCUACAAUAUCGAGAACCCGAGGCCAGGUGUCCUCAUUAACAGCCCUCACGGUGAGGAUGUCUACAAGGGAGUCCCGAAGGUUUGUGUAAUUUCUUUUGUCUUUUAUUUGCUUGUUGAUUUUGCAAACUGAGUAUUCUUUUUCUAAUAUGGUAAUUUUUUUGAGGCAGGAUUAUAUUGGAAACGAUGUUACACCAAAUAACUUUUACGCUGCGCUUCUCGGUAACAAAACUGCACUGACUGGAGGUAGUGGAAAGGUUGUAGAUAGUGGUCCGAAUGAUCAUAUAUUCGUAUUUUAUUCAGAUCAUGGCGGUCCUGGAGUUCUUGGUUAGUACUUCUUCCAAUGUCAUAAAUUUAUCGAUUGCUUCUUAUUAGUAUUCGUUAUUUCAUUUUACUUAAUCUGCACCUAGAACAUUACGAAAAACUAGAAAAGAUGGCGUCUUAUAUAUAUUCACCUUUUCAAGAAAUCUGUUCUCCGUACUUAGUUCUCAAAGCAUAUCAAUAGUUGGAGAUUGUCCUUUCUUUUUUUUCUUCGGAAAAUGUUUGAUUUGUUUUCAAUAUUUUACACAGGGAUGCCUACAAGCCAUUACAUAUAUGCGAAUGAUCUAAUCGAGGUCUUAAUAAAGAAGCAUGCUUCUGGAACAUACAAGAAAUUGGUAAUUAAUCAGUUAUUAAAUUUCCAUUGUGUGCAAUCGUUAUUCUAGAAACGAAGGCCUGAAUAUUUCCAUCAAUAUUUUUCAGGUAUUUUACCUCGAAGCUUGUGAAGCUGGAAGUAUAUUCGAAGGUCUUCUUCCAAAAGGGUUGAAUAUAUACGCCACAACUGCGUCAAAUGCUGAAGAAAGCAGUUGGGGUACAUACUGCCCUGGAGAUUACCCAAGCCCUCCCCCCGAAUACGAAACUUGCUUAGGCGACCUUUACAGCAUUGCUUGGAUGGAGGACAGGUCCGUAAUUUCCUCACUUCAAUUGCAUAUGUUUUUCUUUUUUGUCUUGAUUAAUAAUUUAGUAUUGACAUUGCAACAUUAUGAACAGUGACAUUCACAACCUUCGGACUGAAACUUUGAGCCAGCAGUACGAAUUGGUAUGAAGAUAAAUAGUUCUUCUACGGCUCUUAUGUUUUUCUACUGAUAUAAACUUGAUGAAUUUAAUAUUGUAUAUAUCUCUGUUGGGAUUUUCAGGUCAAGAAACGAACAGCAAAUGAAAAUUCUUAUUACGGUUCCCAUGUUAUGCAAUAUGGGGAUGUGAAACUAAAUGCAGAGAGUCUUUUUACGUAUUUGGGUACAGAUCCUGCAAAUGAUAAUCUUACCUUUGUGGACGAAAAUUCUCCGCUUCCAUCUUCGAAACCUGUUAACCAACGAGAUGCUGAUCUUCUACAUUUCUGGCAUAAGGUAUCAAUUUUAUUCACAAUGUAUUCUUUUCUUAUUCUUUUUUCAUUUUGUGCUCGAAAAAUCAUUUGUUGAUCGACCAAUUGCAGUUCCGCAGAGCACCUGAAGGUUCUGACAGGAAAUUUGCAGCUCAAAAGCAACUCUCCGAAGCUAUGGCACACAGAACACAUGUUGAUAGCAGUAUUAAACUUAUCGGGAAACUUCUUUUCGGAAUUGACAAGGGCCCACAAAUGCUGAAGGCCAUGCGACCUUCUGGGCAGCCUCUUGUCGAUGAUUGGGAUUGCCUUAAAUCGCUGGUAACAUAUCAUCUUCUAGUUUGUAACUACAGAGAAUUUUUAAGAAAAAUACGUAAAUGAAUUCAAAUGGGGAAAAAAAGGAGGAAAUUCGUAUAAUUUGUAACAUAAGAUUAUAUAUUUAUGCAGGUUAGAACAUUUGAGACUCAUUGUGGAUCACUAUCGCAAUACGGAAUGAAGCACAUGCGUUCUAUUGCCAAUAUCUGCAAUGCCGGUGUGACGAGAGAGCAGAUGGCUGAGGCAUCUGGCCAAGCCUGCACUAGCUUCCCUUCUAAUUCUUGGAGCUCUCUACAUAGGGGCUUCAGUGCUUGAUCGGCACUUCAAAAUCGGGGAAAUUCCGGAUAUUUGAAAUAUGAUCUCGUAUAUAUUGUGAAGUUGGAUUUUAAUUUAUGUGGAUAUAUGUAAGAAAGAAAAUGAUGUUUGUUACCAUUGUUAAUAUGGUGGGUUUGUUGUAUAUACAUCCUCAAAAGAAACAUCACUGCUGGGAAAGUUUGUUGUAAUAUAGGUAUAUGUGUUUGUAGUUUUCUUUGUUCAUAUUGUACUUUGGUUGUAUUGUUAUUGUAUGAUGAAAUAGUUUGGAACUGAAGUAUCUUCAAUUUAAUAGUUUGUAUAUUCUAAGAAGAAACUUGCCUUUGUAGAUUAUUACUUUCCCAUCAACUGAGUAACUUCCGAUUCGAAUAUUUUCAAUUUUCAAAAGAUAUUUUGUAAUUCCAAUUUUCGAAAGUUGUUGGUUUUUUGCCCAAAUGUGGGCUGGGCCAGAAAGCCCAAUUACUCUACUAUUUUAUACACCACCAUAUUGAGUUAAGCCCAAGAAUUAAUAAGUGAGCCCAAUCCGUUUCUGAGCCAAAUCCAUCCGUCGGAUUUCUGGCUGAAUUUGGACCGUUCAUUCACUCACUUAUAUACCCUCUUCUCUCUCAUUUUUCCUCUCAUUCUGAAACCCUUGCUUUCCCUUCUUCUUCUCCGCCGCUCCUGCUUCUGUCUUCUUCCUCCCUUGUACUGCCUUGACUGAUUAAUGGUUGGAGGUCAAAGAGCAUGGUACAUAGCUGACUUUGACCCUCCAGUACAGCCUUCACCGGCUCUAUUUGACUUCAGUCCCUAUAAAUACAGGUAUGGAGGUUGGAAGAGGAUAAGAUACAGAUAAAACCCUAAACCCGACCUAAAUCCCUCAGUUUUUCUAUUUGUGAGUUCUGAAAUUGGGGUUUUGGUGAGUGGGUAAGCUUGAGUGCUUGAUCUGUUCUUCCUUCGUGGUUUUUGGGUAAACUAGGGUUUGUGUGUUGAGAGAGAAAGAAGAUUUGUUCUUCUUGAGGUACUCUGGUGGUGUAUACUGAAAGUGUGAAUUUCUGGUGUGAAAAUUGGAAGACUGAGCUGAUAUCCUUUAUCUAUUUAUUUUUCAAUUUAAUCACCCUUUUUUUCUAUCUUUCUGUUAUACAUAUAUAUAUAUAUUCUCCUUGGCAGUAAUCAAUACUGCACAAGGGAAACUUAUAUUUAUUUAGGCUUUAUGGAGUUGGGCAGUUUGAUACCCUACAAAAGUUUCGAUUUUUAUUUGAAUGAAAUUGAAAUACAUAUUAAAUUUCGAAUUACGGUCUUAUUUUAAUUUAAAAAAUCAGCGGGUCAGGACGAAAUUAGCACCUUUUAGAAAAUUUUCAAACUUUUUCGGAAGUUAAAAUCGGACCGAAAUCGAUGAAAUUCGAAAAUUUGUUCCAAUUACCACAAAAACAAUCCAAGAGAAUAUGACCUAAAAGACUGUUUAUUAUUGGCUUCUCCGAACUCCAAAGUCCAGUGGGUUCUCCGUUCAAAACAGAGGAUUAAGUUAACCUAACCAUAGUUAAUUUAAUUAACUAAGGUUAAGUUAAUCAAUAGGCUAGGAGCCAGUGGCACCGGUUAACGAGAAGGCUCCACGAUAAAACUAUUUGCAAAUUUAAAAAAAAAGACGUAAAACGGCAAACUAACGGCGUAAGAGAUUCCGUCAGACAAUUUGACGCCGUGAAUCGUCAUCCAGCGUUUAUGUGGGGCACAUACAAUAACAUUAACGCCGUUUAUCAGAGUUAAAACGAGAAGCGAUCCACACCGUCGAUAUUAUUCUAAUGGUUGCGGAUAGAAAAUGUAGAACGAGAGGGUAUAAAAAUGGUGUUAGAAAGGGGAAAGAGAGUAUUUCGUUUUCUUUAUUUUCUUUCUUCACAAGGAGGAGUAGAAAACAAAACUCUCUCUCUCUCUCUCUCCUCUCUCAUAAUUUCUAGGACAAUUUACAGAAAUUUUAGCAGUGGAAUUUGGUGAGUGGAAAUGCAGAGGAUUUCCUAUUAUCAGAUGAUCUGAACCUCCUUUUUUUUGUGUUCCCGAUGAGAAAUUCUUCACUCUGUAUACAAAUUUUACUUGUGAUAUGAGUUUGAUUUUCUGAUUUACCAUUUUUUUUCUGAACUACAGGUACACAUUUCCGUGUCGUCUUGGGGAAGAUAUAGAAGUUUGAUUCUGUUAACACGAUUUUGAGGAAUUUUGGGAGGACUUUUUGAGUCCAGAGGUUCGUUAUUGUCAUUUAUGCCUUCAUUUUUUUGUUUGAUUAGUUUUGGGAGUGAUUUGUUGUUUUUUGUUUGACAGGUAAAUUUCUGUGAGAUUUGAGAUCGGCCUUCUGGUGAAGAAAAGAAAUCGGAACCUCAAUCUAGUCAAAUCGGUAAAUCGGAGGUUUGAAGAGUAAAUCAGCUGAAAUCGCUCUGAAUUCUACGUUUUUCUGUAUCCUGUAUGAAAUCAAUUCGGAGUUUCUAAGGUAAUUUAUUUCGAUAAGAUGAGAAAAAUUAACGUAUAAAUUGUAUUGUGAAUAACGUUUUAUUUUGGCUUCUGUUAUCACAGAUUCAGAGGACUCUGUUUUAACUGAUUCGGAAGGAAGAAGAAAGUUCAUAUUUUUCUUCCGCAGAAAUCAGUCAAUUCCGGUGAAAGAUAUUUUAUUUGAACAGCGGUGGGAGAUAAUUGAGAUUCACCGGUAAUGUGACAAUCACUUUUUUGCCUCUUCUUCAAAAUUUGGCCUCUUCCUUCAAAUUGUUUAAGCUUCACUUUCACAUAAAUCUCUCCCCAGAAUUUUCUUCUUCGAAAUUGAUCCGACUUCUUUUCUUCGAAAUCUGGAACCUAAAAAUCACGUGUUAAAAUUCCAACCACCUCUGUUCCUUGUGUUAAUCGGCCUCUGAAUCUCAGAUAUCAAAUCGGAUCGAUUGCCUCAGAAAAUUAGAACUGCUUACUAAAAAGAGUGCUAUACUAUAUAUGGCUAUAUAUAUUUUUUUUUCCAGAAAUUACAUCUCAUCAUUCACUGAUGAUGAAACCACGCAUUCAUCUCCAUUUCUUUCCUUGUUCCAGAAAUGAAAAAAAAAUAAAAAUACAACUCUUUUGUAAUUGGCCAAAAAGUUUGUGUGAUUUCCGAUGCGACAUCGUUUCUCUCCAUUUUUUCCGAUUUGUCGGAAAUAUAAUUCUCUACCGUUUGAAAUUUUAUUACUUUUCUCUCUCUCUCUCUCUCUCUUUUUUUCUUUUUUAAUGUGACUCGGAAUUGAGCAGAACUUUAAGUUAACAGAGCAUAACUCCGUUAAUAACCAUGGAACGUGAUUUAACGGUGGUGCACAGGUGUACGAAAGGGGGAGAUGGAGAGGAACAAUACUCACUCCGUCAAUAGAGACGGAUUGCUGUUAAGAUCCGAAUCCAGAUCAGCAGCAGUUACGACGACGUCGUCUGACUUCGUGUUGCAGUGGGGGAACAGAAAAAGGCUCCGCUGCAUGAAAUCCCAGGCCAAGGACCAUCAUAUUAACAAGAUUAAUAACUCCUCCGGUUCUGGACCGGUUCAGCGUGCAAACACCUCCACCCGAAUCGACAGGCGGGUCAUAAGGUCGGAUCUCAAUCAUACUAAAGAUCCGAAUUCAAAAAAUAAUGACGCUGGUAAGAGUAACGGAUAUUUGAAUCUCCGUCAGCGUCCGGCUUCUCCGUCUCGUCGAAUCUUGAGGUAAGCUAGCUGCCUUUUCUUUUUUUUUUUUUUUUUUUCCUUUUAUCUAAUAUAAUAUAAUUGUUUUUGUGGUCUUACGUGAGUUCCACGCGGGGAUAAGAUGGUAAUAAUGGUUGAAAUGAUUUGUUUACUAUUUCUAUGUUUAAAUCCUAAAUGUGAUUUAUUAAUAAUUAAUAGUUAAUUCAAUGAAUUUUGCGAGUAAAAUACUUUUGUGACAAAAUAAUUAGGUCAAGGGGUUAGUUGCUCUAUUGAUGGGGACGAGCGUGCUAAUAUGCCAGUAAAGGAUAUUUAAUAUUUUUUAAUCGCAAAUUCUUUUUUCUUUGAAAAAGUUGAUAAGAAAUUUAUGGCGUGCUGAUUGCUCUAUUUCGUCAAUUAUUAAUUAAGUAAUAAUAAUUGAUUUAUUAUUAUUUUUUGUUUAUCAAGCAAAAAUCAAAAUUUAUCAAAAUCAAGCCACCAUGUUUAGCAAAAUUGCAGAAACACCCCUUGCCUUUUUCUUUCUUGCGGAAAAGUGGGCCAUUAUUAUGAGUUGUUUAUUUGGUAGGUUGUUUAGAUCCACGACACAUAUAUAGAAUAAGAUUGGGACACGUAACCUGUCUCAAAUUGGACGGCUCAGAUUCCUCAAAUGAAACACUGUAUUUGCACAGAAUAUAUACACACACGAUCCACAAAUACUUUGACCCUUGUAUAUCGAAAAGCUGACCACAUCCUCACUUUUAACAACCAUCCCCCAUUUUCUAAGCAAAAUUGGUCGCCCAAUUCUGUGAUCCUCCUCAAACACUACCCCACAAGGCUAUUCCUGUAAUUUCCUUCCUUCCCUUGAAAAUCUGUUACUUUUUUUUUUUUUUUUUUUUACCGUGUUUUUUUAUUUAUUGUAUUAAAUUUUGUUACAUACUAAUUUAAUUAUUUUUCGAUUGUCUCAAUCUUGUAGAUAUUUAGAUAGUAUUUGUCCUUUUUUUUUUUUUUUUUUUUGCUCUAUAGUCUUAGAUUUAUUAUAUGAUGAUGCACAUAUUCUGAAAUCUGAUUUAUUGUGUUUUGAUUCAAAAUUAGGAAUUCAGAGAGUUCAAUUGGUAUGAGGGGACAACAAAGCAACGGAGUUAGGGGAUUUACAUCUCCAGAUAGAGGAGAAAAGAAAAGUGGUGCCUCAAUUAUUAUUAAUAAUAUUAAUAAUAAUAGCAGCCACCACCACCAUACUAACAAGAACACCACCAACAAUAAUAGUAUUUACAAUAAUGACACCAACCACCACCACGGCGGUGGUGGUGGUGGUUCUGGGUCAACAGAGACAGGCCAAGACGGGAAAAAGGGCGGCUCAUCCUCCGGCGGCGACACGAUCGCCGCCGUGUGGCCGCCGAAGUUCGUGAUCGCCUUAACGAAUAAGGAGAAAGAAGAGGAUUUCAUGGCAAUUAAAGGGUCCAAGCUUCCACAGAGGCCCAAGAAACGAGCCAAGUUUAUUCAGCGCACACUCAAUGUAAGUCUUUUUGAUGAGCUGUUCUUGCUUCUAAUUUGAGUUUAAGUUUUCAACAAGCAUGAAAUCAGUAUUACAUUAAAUGAUUUGUUUAUUGUAUUAGGUGGGGAAAAUGUGAUACUGUUUUUCAUUAACUACUGUAUAUUUUUUCCACCGGUUCAGUAACUGAAAUCCGUGUGCUAAUGAACUAAGAUUAUACAAUUAAUAUUCGAAAUAAAAUAAAAUCUUGCUAUUGUAAAUGCUAUACAUAAUUUAGCUACAAAGAAUAAUUUUAGAUAAUUUUUUUUUUAAAUUGAUAUUUGUUGAUAGCAUGAAGCAUGUGAGGGCUGACAUAUAUAAGACGUGGCCUUUGGAAUAAUGGACUUACUAGAAGUCAUACAAGGCUAGGUGUACACGUGCCCUUUUCCACAUUAAUUUAUUUAUAGAUGGGGCCAUUUAAUUUAAUUUUUUAAUUUUUUUUCGGUAUAAUAAUUUUUACUGUUUGAAUUGACAUAGUCAACUACUCCCAAAGGAAAAUUUGUUAAUUGGCCUAGUAUAUCUUUUAUAUGAUUAUCUUGUACAUAUAGUAGAGGCACCAUUUAAUAUUUGGAGUAAUUUAAUAAAUUUGAAUUUUGUAUGGAAUAAUAUAAUGUGGGAGGAAUAUGCCAAUCACACACACAGUGGUGGUGUUGGUGGGUACUUGCUUUUCAUGUUUCUUCUUUGGUUCAGUGGGUGAACCCCAUUAAUGUUUCUCAAACACACCAAGCACAACAAGACAAAUUACAGCACAUUGUCUUUCUUUUUUUAAUUGUUUGUAUUCUCCGUUUGUGAUGAAUAAAAUUGUUAAUUAUCUUCACCAAACACUUAACAUAACAAUUAUGUGACAUUGCAAUAAUAAUCAACAUAACAAUUAUGUGACAUUGCAAUAAUAAUCGAAUCGACGGAUAAACGAACUUAAAAUUUUACUAAUUAAUUGUUGUUUUGCAUAUAUUGCAGCUGGUGAGUCCAGGUGCAUGGUUAUGCGAUUUGACUCUUGAACGUUACGAGGUCAGAGAGAAGAAGGUUUCCAAGAAGGUACUACCUUUUCCCUUUAGGAUCGAUUUUUUUUCUAUUAAUCGAACGGCAACAGCUCGUUUAUUGUUAUCGUUUUUAUGUUCGUCAUUUUACUCUUGUAAUAAUUAUUUAUAACAAAGGGCCGGGACACUGUUAAUUUUUCAGAGACCAAGAGGUUUGAAGGCUAUGGGAAACAUGGAGUCCGACUCGGAGUAGACGGAAAUUAAUUAAUCAAUUAAUUGUGAAACAACUAGCUAGCCUUAAAUUUUCUGAAGAAAUGCGUUGAAGUUUUUCAGCUUUCAGCUUUGAAGAAAAAAUAUAUAUAUCUCUAAAUAUGUCUCCUGUAUCUUUGUACCUCACCAUUUGGUGCUAAAUUUAUAUACCGUUUAAUACAAUCAACUUGUGUUGUGUCUUUCUCUUUUAUUUAUUUAUUAUUAUAAAUUUUUUUUGUUGCACAAAUAAACAAAUAAGUCAAGUCAAUCUUUUUUUUUUUUUUUUUUUUUUUUUUUUUUUUUAAUUUAUGAACACUUUUUUUGCUUGACCAACUUUAUAUCUCCUAAAUGAGGGGGCCCAUGAAAAGAAUAGUCGAACCGAAUCACCAAAUUAAAAGCCCACUUGGAUUUUCACCUAUAAGAACCCAACGAAAAGCCCACUUGAUUUGUUUUAGUAUAUAUUUUUUUUAUUUGAUAAAUAAAGCGUAGCUCAAUUAACCUAAGAGUGCGUUUGGAUGGAAGGAUUUGGGGAGAUAUUUGAUUUGGGGAAGGGAUUUAAAAUGACUCCAAUUUUGGAGUCAUUUGAAAUCCACCUCAAUUGCUCAAAACAUAACUAAAAAGGAGGGGUGUGGAUUUGAAAUCCAUCCCCAAAUCCCUCAAUCCAAACAAGUCCAAGGGAUUUGUUAUUAUGGAUUUGAAAUCCCUUCCCCAAAUCCUUCCAUCCAAAUGCACCCUAACAUAUUUAACGAAUCAAAUAGUAAGAUUAACUAGAAGAUUCGGAUCUGUUGAAAUUUGAACGAAUCAAAGCAAACAAAGAAAUUAAAAUAUUUCCAGAAAAACAAGAUAUCAAACAGAGAAAAUGUGGGAUAAAUCGAAAAGAAUGAAGAAUAUUUCCAACUGGUGGAAUGGAAUCCUCUAAGAACAGAAGCAAACAAACGCCAAACAGAGAUCUGCACAGCACACAAAAUGAACUCAAAAAGUAAUGCCUAAAAUGCAAUCAGCCUAUACAUACACACUAUAUAUACUACAUAUUCUCAGAUCCUCAGUGCGGAGCCAAAGAUGAACGAAGCUACGGCGACGGCGCAACCAACCGCGAACGACGGAGAAGCAACUCCGGCGGAUGAUGCCGGCGCUGGAGCCGGAGCCUCUUGUGCCGCUGAACCACCGAUGAGGGCGAAAAUUGCCACUAUUGCAGUUGCAACCAGUAAAGCUUUCGUCUGAGACACCGCCAUUGCAACGCCUGCGUGUUUUUGAAAGGUGUAUUAGUGCGUGUAAGAGUGUAGGAAUUCGAGAUUCAAGGGUGUUCGUCGCUUUAUAUACCGAGUGAGAAGUGGUGGGUGAGGGCGUUAGGGGCAGAGGCUAGGUUGUACGGGCAGCUGCCCGAAUUUACAACUGGCGAUUGGUGGAUAGACAGCUGGUUGAUACGAC
rnacentral:lncRNA from 1 species